CCUCUUCCUAUUUCCUUUUUCCCUUGCCUUCUUCUCAUUCCCGCUAUCUGUUUUACCAUUUGUCAUGCCAAUUCCAACCUACUUUGCAUUCAGAGUGAGAGAGAAGCUCUUUUGAAAUUCAAGAAUCAUCUUAUUGAUCCUUCAAACAGGCUAUCGUCAUGGGUUGAAGGUGGGGAUUGCUGUGAAUGGACUGGUGUCGUCUGCCAUAACUCAACAGGCCACGUCAACCAACUGCACUUGGCCGCUCCUCUUUCAGAGCCUGAUGGCUUGGCAACAAAUGCUGAAUGGGAAGCUUACAACAAUUCCCUGCUAGGAGGCAAAAUAAAUCCUUCACUGCUGGAGUUGAAGCAUCUCAGUUCCCUGGACUUGAGCAAUAACAAUUUUAGCACCAUACAUAUCCCGAAAUUUUUCGGUUUGCUGGAGAGUUUAACAUAUCUUAACCUUUCUCGAGCACAAUUUCAGGGAGCAAUUCCUCAUAACCUGGGGAAUCUUUCAAAGUUGCAGUAUCUUGAUCUUCGAGGUAAUGGAGUGAGAAAUAUUGAAGCAACAAGUCUUCAAUGGGUUUCUGGACUUUCUUCCUUGCAGUACCUUGAUUUGAGCUACGCGAAUCUUUCUAAAGCAACUGAUUGGCUACAGGUAACAUUUAAACAUCCUUCUCUGCUAGAGUUGCACUUGUCAGCUUGCAUUUUGAAAGAUGAUCCAUAUUUGAUCAGUGUUAAUUCUUCAAAAUCACUGGCUGUUCUUGAUCUUUCUGGGAACAGCUUAUCUUCAGUACCUAAGUGGAUAUUUAGUCUUCAUGGUCUUGUGUCCAUUGAUCUUGGUAGCACUUAUUUGGAAGGCCCAAUUCCAGAUUACUUUGGGAACAUCUCGUUUCUUGAAGUUCUUGAUCUUAAUUGGAAUAAUCUCAAUUCGUCCAUACCCAAUUCCUUGUAUAGUUUAAACCGUCUUCAGUUCCUUAGUCUUGGCUAUAACCAGUUACAAGGAACAAUCUCGAGUGCCAUUGGAAACUUGAGCUCUGUUACUCACCUUGAUCUUUCAGUAAAUCAAUUAAAUGGUCAAAUUCCAUUGUCUAUAGGGGAGUUAUCAUCUCUGAAGUUGUUUGAUGUUUCAGAAAAUCAGUUAAACGGCCAAAUUCCCUUGUCUAUAGGGUAUUUGUCAUCCUUGGAGGAGAUUGAUGUUUCAGAAAACCAAUUAAAUGGUCAAAUUCCAUUGUCUAUAGGGGAGUUAUCAUCUUUGAAGUUGUUUGAUGUUUCAAAAAACCAGUUAAACGGCCAAAUUCCCUUGUCUAUAGGGCAGUUGUCAUCCUUGGAGGAGUUUGAUGUUUCAGAAAACCAAUUAAAUGGUCAAAUUCCAUUGUCUAUAGGGGAGUUAUCAUCUUUGAAGUUGUUUGAUGUUUCAAAAAAUCAGUUAAACGGCCAAAUUCCCUUGUCUAUAGGGCAGUUGUCAUCCUUGAAGGAGUUUGAUGUUUCAGAAAACCAAUUAAAUGGUCAAAUUCCAUUGUCUAUAGGGCAGUUAUCAUCUUUGGUGGUAUUUGAUGUUUCAGAAAAUCAAUUAAAUGGUACUUUUCCUCUAUCUUUUGGACGACUAGAAAGUUUGGAAAUUCUGGAUUGUGGGUAUAAUCUAUUAGAAGGAGUUGUAUCAGAAACCCAUUUUUCUAAUCUCACGAGAUUGACAACUCUGAAGGCAUCACACAAUCGGCUUAGAUUUGAACCAAACUCAAGCUGGAUUCCCCCAUUUCAAUGUGAAAGGAUCGAAUUGGGUCACUGGCAUCUUGGCCCAAAGUUUCCCCAGUGGUUAAAAUUCCAAAAGAAAUUGUCUUAUUUGGAUAUCUCCUAUGCAGGAAUUUCAGAUGUCAUGCCCACUUGGUUUUUGAACCUUCCCACUCAAUUUGAAUCUUUAAACCUUUCCUCGAAUCAACUUAGAGGAGAGAUUUCAUAUUUGAAUGUGAGAAGCUCUGUUGAUUUGAGUUCAAACCGAUUCAUAGGACCAUUGCCAACAGUAUUCCCAACUUUACAACUUCUAAUUUUAUCAAAUAAUUCAUUUUCGGGAUCUCUUUUUGAAUUAGUUUGUAAUUCAUCAAGUGGGGAUUUUCUGGAAGUUCUUUACAUUGAUAAAAAUCUUAUCUCAGGAGAUAUUCCAGAUUGUUGGAAUCAUUGGUCCUAUUUGUUCCUUUUAAAUUUGGGAAGCAACAAUUUGACCGGCAAAAUCCCACCUUCUUUAUGGCAUCUAAAUCUUACAAUGCUAAACCUUCGAAACAAUACAAUGUUUGGAGAAUUGCCAUCCACAUUGCAAAAUUCUCCAAUUUUGGUUAUGUUUGAUCUUAGUGAAAAUCACUUCAGUGGAAAUGUACCAGCAUGGAUUGGUGAUAAGCUCCACCUUGAGAUUCUAAGCCUUCGAUCAAAUAACUUUGAUGGGCAUAUUCCUCAUAAAAUUUGUGAUCUUCAAUUUCUUCAAAACUUGGACCUUGCCCACAACAACAUUUCUGGAGUUAUUCCAAAAUGUUUUAAUAAUUUAAGUGCAAUGGCCACACCAAACAAAACCAAUAAUUUUGUUCAUGCGGGGUAUGAAUAUGCUGCCUCAAUUUUUUUAAACGCAUUAUUGGUGUUGAAAGGACGAGAGGAUGAAUAUGGUAGCACACUAGGACUUGUUACGAGCAUGGACCUUUCAGCUAACAGUCUCACAGGAGAGAUCCCCAAAGAAAUUGGUAGUCUCGUUGGACUAUUGUCUUUAAAUUUUUCAGGGAAUCUCCUAACAGGAAAUAUACCAGACAGCAUUGGCAGCAUGGAGUUAAUGGAAUCUCUUGAUUUGUCCAUGAAUCGACUAAAUGGUGAAAUCCCUCCAAGUUUCUCCAAUUUGAAUUUCUUGAAUCACUUCAAUGUGUCCUACAACAACUUGACAGGACAAAUCCCAACAAGCACUCAGCUUCAAAGCUUUGAAAACUUGUCUUACGUGGGCAAUCAUCUUUGCGGACCUCCUCUCACUAAGAACUGCACCUCAAAUGGUAUUCCAAUUGACGUUGCAAAUAAUGGAAGUAGCAGGGAAGGAAGUAAAGUGAAUUGGCUUUAUGUCAGCAUAGUUCUCGGCUUUGUAACGGGAUUUUGGGGUGUAGUGGCUCCCUUAUUUUUCAUCAGGUCUUGGAGGCAUGCAUACUAUCGAAAGUUGGACCAUGUUGGACGAAAGCUGUAUGUGUCUUGGGCUACUAUGGGUAUGUAGUUUGAUGGGAAAAAAACAUGUGUAAACAUGUUGGUCUAAAGUUGGUAUAAUUUACUGGAGAUUGGAUCAAAGUGUGUUUUGAUUAUGUAUGAAUAGGUUUUGUUGUAUUUCAAUAAUAUACAAUGAAAAUAAAUUUCAGCAAAAAAUGUUGUUUGAUAAAUUCCAUCAGUUGCUUAGCUUAAUAAUUGAGUAGACGUGGCAGCCAUAGAUCUGGUCUUCUUCCUCCUUGAUCCUUCAAAUUAGGAGUAACAAAAAUAGUAGUAAAUAGGAUUAGCCUAUUUUUUUUCUGUCAUUUUCUAAUUGUUGCCAAUGGAUCUCAACAAAAAAAGAGUUCAGCUGUUGCUCUUCAUCCUUGGACUCACCCUUCUCAGUAAGACAGGUAACAACCUCAAAACGUUCUCGUUUUUGCAUUUGAUCUGGAAAAUAAAAGAAGUCGUAAAUGUUGGAAUUUAAAUCUCCAAGUUAAUUUCAAGUUUGUAAAAUUUAAUGUACUUGAUUGUUCUCUCUUCUUUGUUAACUUAUGGAUCAAAUUGGUAUACCUGUUUAGAGUUAUUUAGAUUUUUUAUUUUAAGGUAUAUAUUUGGAAUCAGCACAUUCAAACAUGAAAAUGAGCAUAGAAUCUUUCAAAAAUAUUCAAAAUAAUUUAUAAAAGUUUUAAUAUACUCGUGUGAAAUAUAUACCCGACAAAAAUCCUUUCAAGUUAUCGAGAUUCCAUCCACCCCAGUCAUAUAUGGUGGUUUUUUAAUUGCUUUUAAAAAUUAAGUUUGAAGCAAGGUGAAUCGAGUUUUUAACAAGGGUUACGUGUAGCUAGGGGCAGGCACCUAGAAAAUUUUCUAUUUAUAUCUUUUAAAAUUUUUUAAAUUUUAAAUUAGUAAAAGUAAAAUUUCACUUUGGUCUCUUUAGAAAAUGAUAAAAUUUUGAUUUAAUCUUUUAAAAAUUAUAAAGAUAUAAGCUAUUAAAACGGUGAAAUUAUAUUUUUACUAUAGUAAAAACUACAAUUUAAUUUCAGAAUUUUCCUACAAAAUAUUUCUGGCGCCCUAAUUUUUAAAUAGAAAAUAAACCUGAGAUUGGGAUUUAUUCCAUAGACUUAGUUGAUUUCGAACUAGUGUUUUUAAGAAAAAAUCUUAAUUAACAUUUUUAAAAUUAAUUUUAUUGUUACAAGACUAUGGAAGUGGAUAUAUUCUUUUAAUUUCAAAUGUUACACCAUUAAAUUUAAUAGAAUAAUUUUAGUGGCAAUAACUAUUUGACUUGAAUUUUUAAAUUAAAAAAAUGUAGGGAUUAAAUUUUUAAAAAUAAAAGUAAGAGACUAAAAUCUAAAUAUAUAAAAUGUAUAGUGAUUUAUAGCAUACUUUAACCUUUAAAUUUUUAUUUUAUAAUUUAAUAUAAAUAAAUAAUUAAUUUAAUAAGGAGGUCGGAAGCUACAGUAAUGUAUAUAUAAAAGUUUUAUUUUACUCUUAAGAAAAAGUUUGAGAAUUAAAUAAAGCAGAGUAAAGGAUGAAUUGAUUGAUUUUGAAUAAAUGUUGAAAAAUCAUAAUGCAAGAAGUAGUAAUGGUUUUCAAAAUUUUGCUUAAUACUAACCAAACAUAUACAAAACUUCCUUUUGGUUUUUAAGACCUAAAAAGUCUUAAAGAACGUGGGAGUGGGACUUAGGGUGGGUUUGGAUGGGCGAUUAGGUGCGGUGCGGUACGUUUAAUUUACUUUUUAUCUCACGCUACAGUAUCGCUACAGUGUCUAAUUUCACAGCCACCGCUGUUUUUACACUAACCGCAGGUAAACGCACCGUCCAUCCAAACUCACCCUUACUCCAUAGACUUAGUUUUCAAACUUUUAUGUCCAUUUGUGGUUUUAAACUUAUCGACCUUAAAUUAAAUUUUAAUUUGGUUGAUAUUGAUUUCAUUGUCAAUGAAAGAGGAUAUAGACUUAAGCGUACUUAAAUGCGUUUUCAGAAACAAGGUUUGAAAAAUAUUUAAUACACUAUGUAUUUAAGGUAUAAUAAUUUUUUAGAAAAAUGGAACACAAAUUUAUAAUAUGGGGUCUUAUAAUAUAUUAUAUAUUAAUUUGAUUCAUUUAAAGUUUUAUUUUUCUACAAGAAUUAAGUUCAUGAUAAUAAGAAAAGAAAGUUCAACUUUUAUUUAUUAAUAAAAUUUAUAUUCCCUUUGAAAUAAAAUUCAAUUAUUUUUUAAUUUUUAUUUUAACUUUUCAUUUUGUUUUAAUUUUUAAAUUAUUUGCUAAUAUGAGAUAUGAGAUAAAAUAGUACUACAUUAGCAUAAAGUACAUAUAAAUUGUUGUAACACCCUAAAUAAUUUAUUUUUGUUUCUGUGAAUUUUAAUAUAAAUGUGUAUUUGUUUAAGUGGUUAAAUGUUUUGGGUGUGUGUAUGAGGCAUUGGGUUCAAAACUUGGACCUUGCCCACAACAACAUUUCUGGAGUUAUUCCAAAAUGUUUUAAUAAUUUAACAGCAACGGCCACAACAAACAAAGCCAGUAAUUUUGUUUUUGAGGUGUUUAGAUAUGCUGACUCAUUUUUUUUUGAACGCAUUAUUGGUGUUUAAAGGACGAGAGGAUGAAUAUGGUAGCACACUAGGACUUGUUACAAGCAUGGACCUUUCAGCUAACAGUCUCACAGGAGAGAUCCCCAAAGAAAUUGGUAGCCUUGUUGGACUAUUGUCUUUAAAUUUUUCAGGGAAUCUCCUAACAGGAAAUAUACUAGACAACAUUGGCAAGAUGAAGUUAAUGGAAUCUCUUGAUUUGUCCAUGAAUCGACUAAAUGGUGAAAUCCCUCCAAGUUUCUCCAAGUUGAAUUUCUUGAAUCAUUUCAAUGUGUCCUACAACAACUUGACGGGACAAAUCCCAACAAGCACUCAGCUUCAAAGCUUUGAAAACUUGUCUUACGUGGGCAAUCAUCUUUGGGGACCUCCUCUCACUAAGAACUGCACCUCAAAAGGUAUUCCAAUUGACGCUGCAAAUAAUGGAAGUAGCAGGGAAGGAAGUAAAGUGAAUUGGCUUUAUGUCAGCAUAGUUCUCGGCUUUGUAACGGGAUUUUGGGGUGUAGUGGCUCCCUUGUUUUUCAUCAGGUCUUGGAGGCAUGCAUACUAUCGAAAGUUGGACCAUGUUGGUCGAAAGCUGUAUGUGUCUUGGGCCACUAUGGGUAUGUAGUUUGAUAGGAAAAAAAAACGCAUUUAUAAUUGAUGCAUUUGAGCUAGGUGUGUUGCUACAAGAUUGUUUGAUUUGAAAGAUUAGUUUUUGCGUCUAUCAACUCGCUUGGUGUGCCAACAAAACGGCCCACUCGGUUGCAUGAGCGGUUUUAUUAUAUGCAAACCACAUAUAAUAGGAUGUUCUUUCCCUUGCAUCUUUCUUGAAGAAUGUUAAAAUUAUGUCUUAUUUUGUCUUAUGUUGAUACGAAUGCAAAUUGUGGAUGGUAGAUUUGGGUGUAUGGGGUGAGCCUGUUGGCUCGGGUUUAGUAGUCCAUCUCAUCUUUGUGUUCACUUUUGCUUUUUUAUUUUCUCAUUAAUGAAUUUCUUCUCUAAAAUAAUAGUAAUUUUAGACACGUAUAAAAGCAUAAGUGUAAAUUACACCCAAGGUCACUAUAAAAUAGGUUUGUCCUAUUUUGGUCACUCUAGCUAAUUUUUUUCUCAAUUUAGUCACUCUAUUUAAUGUUAUUGUUUGAACUAGUUAAUAUCGUUAAAAAUUCUAUUAAUCCAUUAAUGGAUUGUUGUUGUGACACAUUAGCCAAUUGAAUUAUGACACGUGGCACCAGGGGCGGAGCCAAGGGGUUGGUAAUGGCUUUAGCUCCCUAAAAAGAUUUUCCAUUUAGGCCCCUUUAUUGUUUAUAAAAUUUUCAAUUACUAAUGGUAAAAUUACACUUUGGUACCUCCAAAAAUAAUAAAAUUUUGAUUUAAUUGGUCAUAAAGGUCGAUUUUUUGAAAAUUUAGAGAAAUAAGUUGUUUUUAGAGAGAGUGUAUAAAAGCGCGACCAACUGGACGCUCUUUCUGCAGAAGUGGCAAGAAAGCUUAUCUAGCUAGGCGAGCUUUUCUGCUGACAUGUCAGGAAAAAUGUGCCAAGCUGGACGCAUUUUCAUUGAAAUUUUCAAAAAACGUUUUCAACUUAGCGCACUUUCCUUGACAUGUCAAUAGAAAGCUCGCCCAACUGGUCGGGUUUUCACAUACUCUCUCCAAAAACGAUCGAUUUCCCUAGAUUUAAAAAAAAGAGAGUCCUAUUUAGUCAAUUAACAAACUUUUUUGGCAUAUAUGGCUAAUUUGGCCUACAAUUAAGGGUUUAAUUUAUGAUCACAUUAUAUAUUAUUAAGGCUCUGCUCUUCGAUAAUGUGGUCAUUAGGUCUAAUUGUUUGGCUGUUAUGACUGCUUGGACUCCGCCAAUAAUUGAUGGAUCUGGGCUAGGUGUAUUGUUACAGGAUUGUUUUGUGCUGAAAGAUUAGUUUAAGCAUCUGUCUUUUUUUUUUGGACUAGUCGGUGUGCCAACAAGACAACCCACUUAUUUGUGUGAGCAGCUUUCUUAUAUGCAAACCAUAUGAAAUGGGAUGUUUUUUCCCUUGCAAGUAUACCAUAUGUUGAUAUAAAUGAGGAUUACGGACAGUAGGUUCAAGUUUAUAGCGUGAGCCUAUUGGCUCAGGUUUAGUAAUUUGUCUCCUCCUUGCGUUGGCUUGUGUUUUGUGACUUUCUCAUUAAUAAAUUUCUUCUCUAAAAAUAAAUAGUAAUUUUAGACACACAUAAAAGUAUAAGGCUAAACUCACAUAUUUAUUAACUUCUUGUUUUGUGAAAUAUAUAUAUCACGGUAAGUACGUAAUGUUUCAAAUUUAAAUCAAUGCACAGUAGUUUAUAUUUUAUUUCAAUCAAAAUUUUAAUAAGUUUCAUAUUCAACUCAUUUCAAUCAAUACCAGUGUACCAAUCAGUACCAAUUGAUACAUUCAAAAUUUGGACAUUUUAAACUAAUUUCUAAUUUUUUUGUAAAAACCAUUUUAAUUUUACCAUAAUUACAUUUUAAUUUUAAAACAUACAUUAACAUAUAAAUAUAUUUAUAUGGAUAUAAUUAAGAUAUAUUUGCAUGUAUAUAUAUUGUAUAAUUAAUUUUUUAACCAAAAUAACAUAUAAUUUAUGAAGAAACUAAAACUUAGAAUAUAAAUAUAUAUGUGAAAAUUAUUUAAAUGUAUAUAUAAUUUAUCAAGAAAUUAAAUUUUAGACUAUAAAUAAUACUGAAGAAGAAAUUUCCCGGCUUCUUAAGGGUACAUUAUCGAGUAUUUCAGUAAAGGGAGAGCUACGCAAGUUCAAGUAAUAGCUUACAUCUCGAGCUGCCUUACCGAGCAAGCCAAAUCUAUCAGGCAAACCACCCGGAGGAAACUCCAUUCCAUUGAUAGGGUCUGUAGGAGUUAGACCAGGCCGGUAAUCAUACAUUUCCUGCCAUAGUUGGGGGUCGGCAUAGUAACCUGACGUUUUGCACCACUCACGAGAAUCAUUUGUGUGAAUCAGCUCCUCCGGUGGGUAUGCAGCCUUUUGUUGGAAGUAAAGGCGAGCAGAAUCUAAACCAGAUCUCAGUAGAGCUCCAUCACUAGCUGGAAACUGAAUGAUGGCAGCUGAAUAUUGAGCAAAUGAUUGUGAUAAAGUAGAGACUGAUAGCUUGUAAGAAUCUGAAGGAAUGCCUUCAGAAGGUACGAGGUCAGUAAGCUUUACACGACCCAGAGAUGGCAGGCCAUUGCCUGCCAUUAAAAUCCUUCAACGUACCAGUUACGUUAUUUCCAACUAAAGGUUAUAUCACCUAUCGACAAUACAAAUUAAAAUCAGCAUAAGUCAAAGGAUUUAAGACAAAGUAUUAUCUGUCAUACAGAAAAUGGAAUAUAAAUAAGACAUAACGAUACCGCAUUGCAAACAAAUAGAAGCACCAAAAGUUAUUCCAGAUUAGUCCCUCUAUUAUAUGAACUGGAAAAAUACUGGCUCAUUUUGAAAUUUUCGUAGUGGAUAAUCAAUGGAAACUAAACUGAAAUAGAUUUCCGGGUGAAAGUACCUGCCAAGUCCCUUUAUUAUAUGAACUGGAUCACAUUAGUCCCUCUACUAUUAAAUGUAUCAAUUUAAUCCCUAUACUAUUAAAAAGAAUUAAAUAAAGCCAAUUUGUAACGAAGUUAACAUUUACUGUUUAAAAAAUGAAAUGAAAUUUUUUUUUUCCCAUUUGCAGUUCAACUCCAAACAGAAGAUUUCAUUUCAAAACCAUAAAAAUAUUUCAAAAUGUUAAUGAAAUCCUUUUAGUUGAUUCCUUUUAUUAGUGCAGGGAUUAAAUUGAUCCAUUUAAUAAUAGAGGGACUACUAUGACCCGGACCCUAUAACGUAGCGACAACAUUCACCUAGAUUUCCGCCAUUGCAGCUAUAAUACUCCAAGCUAAUUUUUAGACUGAUUUGCCUAAUAAAUUUCAUAAUGAAUUUGGGAACUGAACAAAAUACUCGCUUUUAGAACCCUAAUUAUAUUUCUAACACUCCAAUCAAAUUUGUAAAAAUUAUUUCAUAAUGCCUUCAAUCACAUGCCAUCAAAUAUUCCACUUACAAAGAAAUAACAGCAAAAAAAGAAAGUGAAUUUGCUUUGAAAUUUAAUUUUUUUAUGAUUAAAAAGAAAACAAACCCAAUUCAUGAAAUCAAACAAGAAUUAAAAUAAAGAAAUACCCAUCAAGAUCAACAUACAAAAUUCAUACUUCACAAUUAAGGAAAAAGAAAGAACAUGCCUUUGAUUGAUUGCAGCGUCUUACUGAUGCUAAAGUAAACGAAGCGAAAUAGUUAAUUGGAAGCUGAAAUGGGUAAAGCUGUGACUGCGAGAAACAAAAGAUGGUUAGGAAAAGAUUGAAUCUUUCCCGAGAAAAUCAGCAGCAAAAUUCUUUUGUUUAUCAAUGGAAGAUGCUUCAUCAUGGGCCUUGCUUGGUUAGAUUUGGGCUUUUUGAAGGGAUUAGUUUCACCUAGUUUACCACUCCAGAAUUUUUAAUUAUUAUAAAUUAAUUUUUCAAGAUUUUUUAUAAACAUUAGUUUUAUUUUUUUAUUUAUUAAAAUAUGGGAUUUAUUUCUCUAAAUUUAUUUUUCAAAUAUUAAUUCAACUUCAUCACUCGCUAAUAACAAUGUCGAAUUUGAUUAAUUUUAACAUUUUUCAUUGUUAUACAUAAUUUUAUCUAUAAUUUCUUUUAAAAAUAUUAUUAAUUUUUUUAAAAAAUAAAGAAUAUAUAUAAUCAAAAUUCUAAAAAAAAAUAACAAAUACGUAAUUAAAUUAGAAUAUAAAAAAACAUUUUAUUUGAUUGUAUUUAAAAUAAAUUUCAUGAUUUUGUAAUUAGAAAACACAUUGUAUGAAAAUAAUGAGAAUAAAUAACUCGAAAUUAUGGCCUAUUGAUCGAUGUUCAUUCACUCAAAAAUAAUUUAAGAUUAACUUGUACCAAAGAAUAAUGAAAAUAAAUAAAUAAAUAAUUUAUCUUAAAAGGUACCUUUUUAACUUAAUUUUUUUAAUCACAGUCUUAUGUUUAAAGUUAUAUCAGAAGUACAAUUACUUUUUAGCAUACUAAAAAUGGAAAUCAGUGUUUCACCCAUUAAAUUAUUUAAAAAUAAUCAUACCAAACAUACUUAAAGCUUAUCAAGUCUAUUUUUACAUGAAAGAAACGGUGUAGGCAAAUGAAUUUUAUAUUUUGAGAUAUUUGAAUUUUAGUGUGACAGGAUCAGAAUGGUUUUUGAAGUCCCCUGUUUUAACUUUAGAAAAUCAUUAUAAAUUGUACAGAGAGAAUUACAGGUCAUAAUUUAUAUGUCUAGAUUCCUUAGUGAGUCUAUUUUCAAAAUAAACAAACGAUAACCUUAUACGAAUUCUGUAAAAUGAGAUAAUUAAUUUUUAGUGCCAAGAGAUCAGAACUGUUUAGUAGUGAAAUAGGGGAUAUUUUAAUGAAUAAACUGUACUAAUUGGCUAAACCAAAAAUUCUAAAAAUUUUAUGGUAAGAAUGUAUUUGAGUCUAGUUUCAGGAAAAAUUUACGGAUUUAAAUUUUGAGUUUUUUAACUCGAGAUAUAAUUAAAUUAGUGACAGUGGCGCAGGUGGAUAGUUUUAUUGUGAACAGUGAAUUUAAUUUUAAAAGCAAAUUUUUAUGCUCCGAAUUAAUAAGUUAAAUUAGAUGACAUCUCGUACUCGAUUCCGACGAUGGUCUAGGGUAAGUGGUGUUACAGCUUGGAUUGGUUUUAGGUGAAUAGUGGGCCUAUUUAUAUAUUAUAAUUUUAUUUAUUAAUUUUUUCAGUUAAACCGAAAAAUUCGGUUAACCAACCGAUUUCGAACCGAAUUAACCGUUAACCAAAAAUCAAAAAAUAAUCAACCGACCCCCGAUCAAAAAAAUUCUGUUAACCGACCGAUUAACCAAAUUCAGUCAGUUAACAGAAUUUUUUCUGUUUUACCCGAAUUUUGCACACCCUUAAGGUAAACUACACUCAAGGUCACUCUAAAAUAGGAUUUGUCCACUCUAAAUUUUUUUUCAUUUUAAUCACUUUAAUUAAGAUAAUUGGAUGUAUAACUAAAGAGGAAUGAACAUAUAUACAUAAGAAUGGAUGUAUGGCAUGGUUAAGGGAAGUGCAAGGGCAAAAGCUUCAACCUGUAUAAUUCGUUAUAUGCAGGCAAUUCGAAUUUUGGAGAGCUAAGCCAAAAUUUGAAUAAUAACCUCAUGUUGAGAUAUUUUGAUAUAUUUAAAGAGUUUGGGACUUUGGGUGCACACCUACAAGAUUUUACACCAUUUAUUUAUUUAUUUAUAGGAUAAACUAUACCACGGCUAUAUGUAUAUUGUCCUUUUUCUCUUUUGAUCAUUUAACUAACAAUUUUUUUUUUUAAUUUGGUCAUCCAACUAAAUAAGGGUUUUUUUUUUGUCCAUUUCCAUUAAGUGUUGCUAAAUCUCUUACAAGAGGAUAACGUAGCAAUUAAAAAAUCGAUAAUAACAAAUUUAGCGCUUAAUUUUUACAUAUUUAGUCAUAAAUUUAAAAAAAUUAACCCUCAAAGUUUACAAAUGGUCUCAAUUUGAUUCUCAUAUUUUUUUAAUUAUUUUUAAUCUUAAAAAUAAUUUAUAAAAUUUUAAAUUUUAUAAAAUUAAUUAAAUGCUGUCAUGUCAUCUACGUGGCAAUCCACGAGUAUGCCACAUUAGCAAAGUUAACAAAUUAUCAAGGAGUUGCUUCUAUUGGUUUGAUUGUAAUUGCUAUUAUCAAUGAGUUGCUUUGUUUUCAUUUAGAUUCUAUGUUUGCACGUCGAAAUUAACAUAUGCUAUGGAGGCUUGUCUAGAUUAUGAAUGACAGCAUAUUGAGAGCACUUGUAUUUAUUCAUUGAGGAAUUGUUUGGUGUGAGAGUACAAAUUGAAUUGUAAACAUUGGGUGUUUACUUCAUUAGUUAUUGAUUUCAUGGUUGAUUUUGAAAGUUACCAUUGAUGAGUGCUGGAUUUUUAUGAUGAAUGAACAUGGAGUUAAAGCUUUAAUUUUAUUAUAUGAUGAUUUUAUUAAGUAAUUUUGAUAGAAAUUGAUUUUAGGGACCUAAUUGUAAAAAAAGUUGAGAACUAGGGUUUGAUGUUGCGGUUUUGAAUAUCAAAGGCUGUAUAGUAGUCUAAAAUAGUUGGACAAGGUGUUAAUUGAGAAAAAUUAGAUCAAUUGAGGGGUUAAUUGAGCAGGGACUAAAUUGUAAAAAUUGUAAAGUUUGGGUUAAAAGUGUAAUUUCGAAAAUUAAAGGACAUAAAUUGUGAAAUGAAUUAGAAUAGAAUUAGAUGCUGAUGAAUGAAUAAAAUUGUAUUUUAGAUCGAGAACCCGAAACAAGUCGAGGAAAAGAAAAAGUAGUUGAUUAGUCCCUAAACUUUUACAACUCCUGCAAAUUGGCCCAGGUAAGUUCAUAUGGCUGAAUUUUUAUGAUUAAUUGUUAGUGUGGGAAUGACAUAUUGUAUCAAUUCGUAUAUUGUUGUUGAAUUAUGAUUAUGGUAAAAAUGAGAAUAAAAUGAGAUUGUUAGUUCAAAUUAAGGAAUACGCAGGAUUGAGUACAUACGUUCGGCAACCAAUGAUGAAUUGACGGAUAAGUCCAUGGUGGAUCCAUGGCAAAAUGUGAAAGUAGGUAUGGUAUUUCAAUGAAGAAAACCAUACUGAGUUGUGAAAAGUAGGUAUGGUGUUUCAAUGAAGAAAACCAUACUGAGUUAUAGCAAUGUGAAAUAUUCAAGUAAAUCGUGGCACCGGGCAAACGAUGUACUCAAAUCCAUAAGAUGAUCCUUAAUGUGACAGGUAUUUAUAAGUGAAAUUGAAGCUAAAUUUCGGAAUAUAAGUUGACAUCUGAUAUUGAGCUCGAUUGAAUAGAUUCACUGUUUGAGAUUGUGAUUGGCAGGAAAUGUUGAAUUUUUAUUUGUUUAUUAAUAUUAUUAGUGAAAUUGUGGUAAGAUUUUAUAAUGAGCCUAUGAACUUACUAAGCUUCUAUAAGCUUACUUGUGUGUGUUUAUUGUUUCUUGUAGAUUGAUAUAUAUAUGUUCGGAGGAUCGGAUCUACAUCAACGAUCACACUAUCAAGAUUUACUCCGGUAGAGUUUUUCAAACAACUUUUUGAUUUAUAUGGCAUGUAUAGGGAUUUGAUCAUUUUGUGUGUGUGUCCUUAUGGUAUGGCUAAGGAGAAACAAGUAAAUAUUCGAUAAUGAUUAGUUAUUGAAAUGGCUAUAUAGGAACGUGUUUUGGCCUUGCGUGUGCUUAAAUGAUAGUUAAUACAAAGAAAUGACAAAAGAGAGUAAAAAUUUGCAAUGAAACAGUUUUUGGACAGCAGCAGUGACGUGAUUUUGAAAAAUCACAAAAAAUAGAAUAAAUUGAAUUAGAAACUGAGUGAGAUAGGAAAUUAAAGCUGAAUGAGUCUAUUUUCACAUGAAAGAAAUAGAGUAAUAAAAAUAGUUAUAUAUUAUGAGAUAUUUUAAUUUUAGUGAGACAGGGUCAGAAUGGUUUUUGAAGUCCCCUGUUCUGACUUUAAAAAUUCAUUAAAAAUUGUAUAGAAGGAAUUAUGAGUUAUAAUUCAUAUGCAUAGAUUCUUUAGUGAGUCUAUUUUCAAUAGAAACAAACGAUAAUAUUAUCCUAAUUCUUUACAAUGAGAUAAUUAAUUUUUAGUGAAGAGGGGUCAGAGCUGUCGAGCAGUGAAACAGGGGAGAAUUUAAAGAAUAAACUGUACUAAUUGGCUGAACCAAAAAUUCUUAAAAUUUUAUGGUAAAAAUAUAUAUGAGUCUAGUUUCAGGGAAAAUUUACGGAUCUAAAUUUAGAGUUUCGUAACUCGAGUUAUAAUUAAAUUAGUGACUGCUGCGCAGGUGGACAGUUUUAUUGUGAAUAGUGAAAUAAAUUGUUUUAAUUUGAUUAAGUAUACGAAAAUUAUUGAUGUUUCUGGUUUGGACCCGAACCAUUUUUAUUACAUGAUUUUGGGGUCUCGAGAGUUCUUUUAGGGACAUAUGGAUUGAUUGUGAGUGAAUAAAUUUUAAAAGCAAAUUUUUAUGCUCCGAACUAGUAAGUUAAGUCAGGUAAUGCCUCGUGCUCGACUCCGGCAACGGUCUCGGGUAAGGGGUGUUACAGAUUAACCAAAUUCAGUCAGUUAACCGAAUUUUUUCUGUUUUACCCGAAUUUUGCACACCCCUAACUCAAGGUCACUCUAAAAUAGGAUUUGUCCACUCUAUAUUUUUUUUCAAUUUAAUCACUUUAAUUAAGAUAAUUGGAUGUAUGGCAAGUAUCAACGACAUCCACAAAUAACUAAAGAGGAAUGAACAUAUAUAAAUAAGAAUGGAUGUAUGACAUGGUUAAGGCAAAGGGCAAAAGCUUCAACCUUUAUAAUUCGUUAUAUGCAGGCAAUUCCAAUUUUGGGGAGCUAAGCCAAAAUUUGAAUAAUAACCUCAUGUUGAGAUAUCUUGCUAUAUUUCAAGAGUUUGGGUGCACACCUACAAGAUUUUACACGAUUUAUUUAUUUAUUUAUAGGAUAACUAUACGACGGCUAUAUGUAUAUUGUCCUUUUUCUCUUUUGAUCAUUUAACUAACAAAUUUUUUUAAUUUGGUCAUCCAACUAAACAAAAGGUUUUUUUUUUCUUGUCCAUUUCCAUUAAGUGUUGUUAAAUCUCUUACAAGAGGAUAACGUAGCAAUUAAAAAAUCGAUAAUAACAAACUUAGCCCUUAAUUUUUACAUAUUAUAUCGAUUUAGUCAUAAAUUUUAAAAAAUUAACCCUCAAAGUUUACAAAUGGUCUCAAUUUGAUUCUCAUAUUUUUUAAUAAUUUGUAAUUUUAAAAAUAAUUUAUAAAAUUUUAAAUUUUAUAAAAUUAAUUAAAUGUUGUCAUGUCAUCUACGUGGCAAUAGCAAAGUUAACAAAUUAUCAAGGAGUUGCUUCUAUUGGUUUGAUUGUAAUUGCUAUUAUCAAUGAGUUGCUUUGUUUUCAUUUAGAUUCUAUGUUUGCAAGUCGAAAUUAACAUAUGCUAUGGAGGCUUGUCUAGAUUAUGAAUGAGAGCAUAUUGAGAGCACUUGUAUUUAUUCAUUGAGGAAUUAUUUGGUGUGAGAGUACAAAUUGAAUUGUAAACAUUGGGUGUUUACUUCCCAAGUUCUCAUGGAGAGAACUUAGAGGUAAAUGUUCUAAUCUUUAGAUAUAAUGGUGGGAUUUCUAUUUGGGGAGUGAUAGAAUGUGAUUCGCUUGUUAUAUUGUGGAUUAAAAAUUACGUUUAUAUUUUAACAGGACAAAUUGAUUAACGUGAGUGACUAGUUUGAAUAAUUAUUUUAACGAGAAUAAUUAAAUUGAGAAAAAAAUUAGAGUGACCAAAAUAGGACAAACCAUAUUUUAUUGUGACCUUGGUGUAAUUUAUCCUGAAAAAUAUUUUACUCCGUAGACUUGGUUAAGUUGACCUGCUUCUAAACUCUAUGUUUUGUUGAUACAGGAACAUAAAGAUAAAAGUUGAAGUAGCAUUCCUUAUCAAAAUUUUGCUUUUCUUACUCAAAUUCCGUGUUUUCCAUUUUCUUUUCCUUCUCUUUUUUCUCCUUUAGCUUCUAAGACCUAAAAAGUCUUAAAGAACGUGGGAGUGGGGCUUUCUUCAUAGACUUCUGUUUGACUCGACUUUAUAACCUUUUGUGGAUAAUUAAAUUUCCAAGUUAAUGCAUUUUGUUGGAAGAAACUUCCUUGCGCUUCAUGUAUUUUUGUGUUUUAGCUAAAGCUUACUCUAUAUAUUUGGAGUUGUGAGCCAUGGCAAUUGCAACCAUGACUACUCCUCUUCCUAUUUCCUUAUUCCCUUUUCUUCUUCUCAUUCCCGCUAUCUGUUUUACCAUUUGUCAUGCCAAUUCCAACCUACUUUGCAUUCAGAGUGAGAGAGAAGCUCUUUUGAAAUUCAAGAAUCAUCUCAUUGAUCCUUCAAACAGGCUAUCGUCAUGGGUUGAAGGUGGGGAUUGCUGUGAAUGGACUGGUGUCGUCUGCCAUAACUCAACAGGCCACGUCAACCAACUGCACUUGGCCGCUACUCUUCCAGAGGUUGAUUACUCUGAAACAAUUACUGAAUUGGAAGCUUACUACAAUUCCCGGCUAGGAGGCAAAAUAAAUCCUUCACUGCUGGAGUUGAAGCAUCUUAGUUCCCUGGACUUCAGCAAUAACGAUUUUAGCAGCAUACAUAUCCCGAAAUUUUUCGGUUUGCUGCAGAGUUUAACAUAUCUUAACCUCUCUCGAGCACAAUUUCAGGGAGCAAUUCCUCAUAACCUUGGGAAUCUCUCAAAGCUGCAGUAUCUUGAUCUUCGAGGUAAUGAUCUCGAACCAAAAAGUCUUCAAUGGGUUUCUGGACUUUCUUCCUUGCGGUACCUUGAUUUGAGCUAUGUGAAUCUUUCUGAAGCAAAUGACUGGAUACAGGUAACAUUCAAACUUCCCUCUUUGUUAGAGUUGCACUUGUCAGAUUGUGAUUUAGAAGAUGAUCCAUCUUUGAUCAGUGCCAAUUUUACAAAAUCACUGGUUGUUCUUGAUCUUUCUUUCAACCGCUUUUCUUCAGUACCUAAGUCGGUAUUCAGUCUUCAUGGUCUUCUGUCAAUUGAUCUUCGUGGCUAUUCUUUGCAAGGACCAAUUCCAGAUUACUUUGGGAACACCUCGUUUCUUGAAGUUCUUGAUCUUAGUUGGAAUGGUCUCAAUUCGUCCAUACCCAAUUCCUUGUAUAGUUUAAACCGUCUUCAGUUCCUUAGUCUUGGCCAUAACCAGUUACAAGGAACAAUCUCGAGUGCCAUUGGAAACUUGAGCUCUGUUACUCAGCUUGAUCUUUCAGUAAAUCAAUUAAACGGCCAAAUUCCCUUGUCUAUAGGGCAGUUGUCAUCUUUGGAGGAGUUUGAUGCUUCAGAAAAUCAAUUAAAUGGUCAAAUUCCAUUGUCUAUAGGGGAGUUAUCAUCUUUGAAGUUGUUUGAUGUUUCAGAAAAUCAAUUAAACGGCCAAAUUCCCUUGUCUAUAGGGCAGUUGUCAUCUUUGGAGGAGUUUAAUGUUUCAGAAAAUCGAUUAAAUGGUCAAAUUCCAUUGUCUAUAGGGGAGUUAUCAUCUUUGAAGUUGUUUGAUGUUUCAGAAAAUCAAUUAAAUGGUACAUUUCCUCUAUCUUUUGGACGAUUAGAAAGUUUGGAAACUCUGGAUUGUGAGUAUAACCUAUUAGAAGGAGUUGUAUCAGAAACCCAUUUUUCUAAUCUCACGAGAUUGACAACUCUGAAGGCAUCACACAAUCGGCUUAGAUUUGAACCAAACUCAAGCUGGAUUCCCACCCAUUUCAAUGUGAAAGGAUCGAAUUGGGUCACAGGCAUCUUGGCCCAAAGUUUCCCCAGUGGCUAAAAUUCCAAAAGAAUUUGUCUUAUUUGGAUAUCUCCUAUGCAGGAAUUUCAGAUGUCAUGCCCACUUGGUUUUUGAACCUUCCCACUCAAUUUGAAUCUUUAGACCUUUCCUCGAAUCAACUUAGAGGAGAGAUUUCAUAUUUGAAUGUGAGAAACUCUGUUAAUUUGAGUUCAAACCGAUUCAGAGGCCCAUUGCCAGGAGUAUUCCCAACUUUACGAUUUCUAAUUUUAUCAAAUAAUUCAUUUUCGGGAUCUCUUUUUGAAUUAGUUUGUAAUUCGUUUAGUGGGGAAUUUAUGGAAGUUCUUUACAUUGAUAAAAAUCUUAUCUCAGGAGAUAUUCCAGAUUGUUGGAAUGAUUGGCCGAUUUUGGACCUUUUAAAUUUGGGAAGCAACAAUUUGACCGGUAAAAUCCCACCUUCUUUAUGGCAUCUAAAUCUUAUGAUGCUAAACCUUCGAAACAAUACUAUGUUUGGAGAAUUGCCAUCCACAUUGCAAAAUCCUCCAGAUUUGAUUAUGUUUGAUAUUAGUGAAAAUCAUUUCAGUGGAAGUGUACCAGCAUGGAUUGGUGAUAAGCUCUCAAACCUUGAGAUUCUAAGCCUUCGAUCAAAUAACUUUGAUGGACAUAUUCCUCAUAAAAUUUGUGAUCUUCAAUUUCUUCAAAACUUGGAUCUUGCCCACAACAACAUUUCUGGAGUUAUUCCAAAAUGUUUUUAUAAUUUAAGUGCAAUGGCCACAACAAAAAAAACCAAUAAUGAAAUUUCUGCGGGGAAUGUAAAUUAUGUAAAUCUUGAAGACCCAAUUUAUUUGAACAAUGUAAAUGCUGCCCCAUUUUAUUUGAAAGCAUUAUUGGUAAUGAAAGGACGAGAGGAUGAAUAUGGUAGCACACUAGGACUUGUUACAAGCAUGGACCUUUCAGCUAACAGUCUCACAGGAGAGAUCCCCAAAGAAAUUGGUAGUCUCAUUGGACUAUUGUCUUUAAAUUUUUCUGGGAAUCUCUUAACAGGAAAUAUACCAGACAGCAUUGGCAAGAUGGAGUUAAUGGAAUCUCUUGAUUUGUCCAUGAAUCGACUAAAUGGUGAAAUCCCUCCAAGUUUCUCCAAUUUGAAUUUCUUGAACCACUUCAAUGUGUCCUACAACAACUUGACAGGACAAAUCCCAACAAGCACUCAGCUUCAAAGCUUUGAGAACUUGUCUUACGUGGGCAAUCAUCUUUGGGGACCUCCUCUCACUAAGAACUGCACCUCAAAAGGUAUUCCAAUUGACGUUGCAAAUAAUGGAAGUAGCAGGGAAGGAAGUAAAGUGAAUUGGCUUUAUGUCAGCAUAGUUCUCGGCUUUGUAAUGGGAUUUUGGGGUGUAGUGGCUCCCUUGUUUUUCAUCAGGUCUUGGAGGCAUGCAUACUAUCGAAAGUUGGACCAUGUUGGUCGAAAGCUGUAUGUGUCUUGGGCUACUAUGGGUAUGUAGUUUGAUGGGAAAAAAACAUGUGUAAACAUGUUGUCUAAAGUUGGUAUAAUUUACUGGAGAUUGGAUCCAAGUGUGUUUUGAUUAUGUAUGAAUAUGUUUUGCUGUAUUUCAAUAAUAUACAAUGAAAAUAAUUUUCAGCAAAAAAUGUUGUUUGAUAAAUUCCAUCAGUUGCUUAGCUUAAUAAUUGAGUAGACGUGGCAGCCAUAGAUCUGGUCUUCUUCCUCCUUGAUCCUUCAAAUUUGGAGUAACAAAAAUAGUAGUAAAUAGGAUUAGCCUAUUUUUUUCUGUCAUUUUUUAAUUGUUGCCAAUGGAUCUCAACAAAAAAAGAGUUCAGCUGUUGCUCUUCAUCCUUGGACUCACCCUUCUCAGUAAGACAGGUAACAACAUCAAAACGUCCUCGUUUUUGCAUUUGGUCUGGAAAAUAAAAGAAGUCGUAAAUGUUGGAAUUUAUAUCUCCAAGUUAAUUUCAAGUUUGUAAAAUUUAAUGUAAUUGAUUGUUCUCUCUUCUUUGUUAACUUUUAUGGAUCAAAUUGGUAUACCUGUUUAGAGUUAUUUCGAUUUUUUAUUUUAAAGUAUAUAUUUGGAUUCAGCACAUUCAAACAAUGAGAAUGAGCAUAGAAUAUUUCAAAAAUAUAUGAAACAAUUUAUAAAAGUUUUAAUAUACUCAAGUGAAAUACAUACCCGACAAAAAUCCUUUCAAGUUAUCGAGAUUCCAUCCACUCCAGCCAUAUAGAGUGGUUUUUUGUUUUUAAAAAUUGAGUUUGAAGAAAGGUGAAUCGAGUUUUUAACAAGGGCGCUAGGGACGGGCACCUGGAAAAUUUUCUAUUUAUAUCUUUUAAAAUUUUAAAUUAGUAAAAGUAAAAUUGCACUUUGAUCUCCUUAGAAAAUGAUAAAAUUUUGAUUUAAUCCUUUAAAAAUUAUAAAGAGAUAAGGUAUUAAAACGGUGAAAUUGCAUUUUUACUAUCGUAAAAAUUUCAAUUUAAUUUCGGUUCUCCUAAAUAAAUUUCUGGCUUUUGGAAUUAUUGAAUGAAAAAAAUAAUUUCGAAUUUUUCAAAUGAUUUUAUAAAUCUCUUGACAUGUAGGAAGGAAAUUAAGAAAAAUGAUAGAGCAUGAGGAUAUUCAAAAUGAGAUUAUAAAAUUUAGGCUUAAUCCACAAACUGGUACCUAAAUUAAAAUUUUCUCAUCUUGGUAUUUAAACAUUUUUUUUGUCACAAGUGAUAUCAAAAUUUUGCAAGUCAAUCUAUCAACCCUUAUCUCCGAACCAAUACCCCAACAGAUUCUCAAUCCAACCGGUCAAUCCAGUCCAAUUUUGAAAACAUUGGAUUUGGUCGAUGAAACAACUUUUUUGAUCUCAUCAAAUCGAACAAGCAAGUGGUGAAAUUCGAAAAUAUAAUCAAUUGCCAGCAUCUCAACUUUGAGAGAGUGAAUUUUGAGCAUCGCUAGUAUUGUCAUACAUUAUAAAAGAAGAAGAAGAAAAAAAAGGGAAUGGGAAAAAAAGUAAAAAAGAGAGAAAAAUGUAAAAGAAAAAAGGAAAAAAAUUAAAAAAAUAUAUUUUUUAAGUUAUAUGACAUGGCAGAUUAUUAUUAGCUGGAAUUUUAUUGAAUGGGUAUAACAUUUUGGUGUCAAAUGGGUAAGAGAAGAAUAGUUUAAGUACCACUUAAGAGCAAAAAUAUGUUUAGAUACCAACUUAUAAGUUAAGCCUUAUUUAAACAUAGAUUUAAUAGUUAGACUAACAAAGGUACCAACUUAAAAAAAAAAAAACAAAAGUGGUUUAGAUCUCAACAUAGGAAAAAAGGAUAUAAUUUAAGUAUCAAUAUUUGAAUUAAGCCUAAAAUAUAUAUUGAAAUUUUUGAAAAGUAAUAAAGUGAGUUUAGAUAGAGGAUGGAUGUUGAGUUAGGUUCAUUGGGAAGCAGGACAUAGUAAAUAUUGGUAUAAUAUUGAAUUUAGUUUUCAAUUUUUUUUUGUCAAUUUAGUUUUUAUUCUUUUUUUGAGCUCAAUUUGACCCAUAACAUUUUCAAAAGAGUCUCAUUAUUGUUUUUUUAACGGAAAUAUUAACUAAAACAUUCAAUUUUUAAACAUUGAAACAUGCAUAACAAUCCACAUGUAUUUAGAUUGAUGUAGCAUAUAAGACAAAUAGUGUUAUGUCAGUAUGAAAUAUAUGUGGACUACCAUGCGUCCUAGCAUGCCAACAUCGCUAAAAUAUUAGUUUUUUUAGUCAACAAUUCUUUUUUUUAAAGCAAUUUGAUUCUUUUUAAAAAAUUAAUGGUCAAAUUUAACUCAAAAAAAAAGAAUUAAAAUCAAAUUGACAAUAGAUGUAAUCAUUAAGGGCCCAAUUUAACAAUAUGCCAUAAAUAUUUCUUUACAUGAGAGAAAAUUUUUCAGAUUUUAUUUUAAAACACAAAUAAUUUUACAACUUUUGGUAACUAAAACUUUAUUGAGAAAACUCAACAUGAAACAAUUAGUUGUUUCAAUUUACUAUCAAAACGGAAUGUUUCGAUCAGUACGUGGUACCAAAAGAGUAUCAAGUACUAUAGAUUGAAGUUCUAUAUUGACACUUUAUGAUUUAGUUCUUAAAUCUGAUAAUAAUAAACCUCUCCCCUAACUAAAUCAACCUUUUCAAAUAAUUAAAAAAUAAUUUUUAAUCUCCACUCAUGAAAAUGAAAUACAAUUUAUUGUCAAUCAUUUAUCUUUUCGGAAUACAUCCACAAUUAGAAGAUUAAUCACUAUUACUGAUUAUGGAUGUUCAAAAAAUAAUAUUUUUUAAUCCCGCUCACGAAAAUGGAACAUAUUUUAUUGUCACUCAUUUAACUUUUCGGAAAAUAUCUUCAGUUAGAAAAUUAAUCACUGCUAUCAAUGAUGAAUAUCGUAAUUACGGCAAGAAAAAUAAUUUUUGAGAUUGAGACAAACAGAUUUAAGUUGAAUUUUUAAAAGUAAUAUUUGAAGUUUUAAAAAAUAUUUUAUUCACAUAUAAAAAUUAGAAAAUUUCAAACAUUGAAGCUAAGCCAAAUUUCUCCAAUGUCUUAAGAAUCUUAAGAACCUCGUGUUGAGAUAAUUAUCAAUAUUGCCAAUUAACUUCUAAGUCAUUAAAAAGAAACUUCAGUCCUCCAAUCACAAUUCAACACUUUUCUAAAUUUUCAUUGGCAUUGAUAAUAGUAAAUUUAUAUUUUGGCUCUCUUAAAAAUAAUACAAAAUUAAUUUAAUCCUUUAAAAAUUAUAAAAAUAUAGGCUACUAAAAUAGUGAAUUGUAUUUUUAUUAUCGUAAAAAUAUAUAAUUUAAUUCUGGACUCCCAAAAAUAAAAUCUGACUCCAUGUUAAAUUGAUUUAUUUUCAAUAAAAUUUUGUUGGAAGAAACUUCCUUGUGCUUCAUGUAUUUUUCUGUUUUACCUCAAAAGGUAUUCCAACUGAUGUUGCAAAUAAUGGAAGUAAUAGAGAAGGAAGUAAAGUGAAUUGGCUUAACUCAGCAUAGUUCUUGGCUUUGUAAUGGGAUUUUGGGGUGUAGUGGCUCCCUUGUUUCUCAUUAGGUCUUGGACGAUUGCAUACUAUCGAAAGUUGGACCAGAUCUAUGGUAAAUUGUAUGCGUUUUGGGCUACUAUGGGUAUGUAGUUUGAUAGGAAAAAGGCAUGUAUAAUUGAUGCAUCUGAGCUAGAUUGUUGGGUGCUGAAAGAUUAGUUUUAGCCUUUUUGUCCUUUUUUGGGACUCAUGGGUGUGCCAACAAGGUGGCCCACUCGCUUGCGUAACUAGCUUUGUUAUAUGCAAAUUCACAAGGAAUGAGAUGCUUUUCCCCUUGCAUCUUUCUUUGAAGAAUGUUGAAAUUAUGUCUUAUGUGGAUUGCAGAUGGUAGGUUCGGGUGUAUGGGGUGAGCUUGUUGGCCUGGGUUUUGUAGUCUGUCUCCUCUUUGUGUUUACUAUUAUUUUGUGACUUUUUCAUUAAUAAAUUUUUUUCUCUCAAAAAAAUUAGUAAAUUUAGACACACAAAAGUAUAAGGGUAAACCACACCCAAGGCCACUCUAAUUUUUUUAUCAAUUUACUCAAUCUAAUUAAUAUUAUUGUUCGAACUAGUUACUGCAGUUAAAAAUUCUGUUAAUCCAUUAACGGAUUGUUGUUGUAACAAAUUAGCCAAUUGAAUGAUGACACGUGGCACUUUCUUUUGACUUUUGGUAAAAACUUAAAGACCUCUCUAUAAUUAAUCCAGAACAUUUUCUUCCCUUUCUGUUCUCGUAGUAACUCAAAAUGUAGAAACCAAAACAGACAUCUCAAAGCUACAUGUCCUUCACCAUUUUCUCAACAAUGGAUGUAUGACAACUAUCAAUGAUAACCCACCAUAUAUCCACAAAUAGUUAAAAGAAAAAUGAACAUAUAUAAAUAAGCAGGCAAUUCCACUAUCAAUGUAUGGCAUAGAUAAGGCAAGGGCAAAAGCUUCAACCUUUAUUAUUCGUUAUAUGCAGGCAAUUCCAACUUUUGGGAGCUAAGCCAAAAUUCUAAACCUCUAAUAGAUUUUAAUAAUAACCUCAUCUUUGUAAUAUUUAAAGAGUUUGACAGCAGACCUACAAGAUUUUACAACAUUUAAUGAUUUAUUGAUUUAUUUAUUUACAAGCAAAACCAUACCAUAGGUUAUACUGUUACUUUUUUUUAUUAUUAUCUAACUGUCAUUUUUUUAGUCUAUUUCCGUUUAGUGUCGUAAACUCUCUGAAGAAACGGUGAUAUAGCAAUUAAAAAAUUGAUAAUAACAAGUUUAGUUCUCAACUUUUACAUAUUAUAUUGAUUUAGAUAAAUUCUUUAAAAAAUCAACCCUCAAAAUUUACAAAUGGUCUCAAUUUGAUCCUCAUAUUUUUUUUUAAUAAUUUUGAUUUUUAAUUUUAAAAAUAAUUGUUAGAAUAUUUUAAAUUUUAAAAAUGAAUUAGUUGUUACAAAUGGUUUGUUUGUGUUUGUGGUUGAUUAUAUAGGAUUCAGAUUUUAGAUCUAUUAAAUGCCACUUUUUAAAAGAGAUUACUUGAAUCAAUUGAUCAAAACUUCAAGUUUAGUUUUAGUACUCGUACAAGAAUCUAGGGCAUUUCAAGCUUGUGUAAUUUAUUGAAAUGUCAACAAUGCGGAUGUUAUUAUGUCUCUCGGGGUUUGAGUACGCCAGAUUUAGUCCUUGUAUUGAUGUAGCUUAUGCCAUUCGGGAGGCGUUGUCAUGGCUAAAGGCUCUGCUCUUCGAUAAUGUGGUCAUUGGGUCUAAUUGUGUGGCUGUUACGACUGCUUGGACUCCGCCAAUAAUGGAUGCAUCUGAGCUAGGUGUAUUGUUACACGAUUGUUUAGUGCUGAAAGAUUAGUUUAAGCAGCUGUCUUUUUUUUUUUUAUUAGUCGGUGUGCCAACAAGACAACCCACUUACUUGUGUGAGCAGCUUUCUUAUAUGCAAAUCACAUGGAAUGGGAUGUUUUUUCCCUUGCAUCUUUUUCAAAGAAUGUUGCAAUUAGGGUAAACUACUAAAAUAGUUACUUUUGUUUGGUUCAUGUUACAUUUUAGUCACUUAUGUUUGAAAUGUUACGUUUUAAUAACUUAUGUUAUCGUGUUGUAACAUUUUAGUCACUGAGCCGUUAGUUUAUGUUAACGGUGUAACAAAAAGCUGAUGUGGCAUGUUAAAUCAUCAUUUCAAACAAAAAUUCUAGGUUAAUUUAUACAAUCGGUCCCCAUAUUUUUUCGUUUGGAGCAAUUUAAUUUUUUUCUUUUAUGUUUUUUUAACUUUAUUUCUUUUCCAUUCUCUUAUGCUUCUUCCUUUGUUUUCCUCCUUUCUCCAUUUCUUUCAAUGUAGUGUUUCUAUGUUUUAUUUUUUUUAAACAAUUUAAUUUUUUUUAGUGAGGCGAGCUUGUGGACUAGUUACAAAUGGAAAACAUAGAAAAACUAUGUUAAAAGAAAUGAAGAAGGGAGGAAAAUAGAGAGAGAAGCAGAAGAGAAUGGAAAAAAAAGUUAAAAGAACAUAAAAGAAAAUUUUAAAAUUGUUGAAAAUGAAAAAAUAUAAGGACCAAUUGUAGAAUUUAACCUAAAAUUUUCGUUUGAAAUGAUGAUUUAACGUGCCACAUCAGCUUACCGUUACAACAUUGUUGGCAAUUAACGACCCAGUGACUAAAAUGUUACAACACGAUAACGUAAGUGACUAAAACGUAACAUUUCAAACAUAAGUGACUAAAAUGUAACCUAAGGCAAACAAAAGUGACUAUUUUGGUAAUUUACCUGUUGCAAUUAUACCAUAUGUUGAUAUAAAUGAGGAUUACGGAUGGUAGGUUUGGGUUUAUGGGGUGAGCCUAUUGGCUCAAGUCUAGUAAUUUGUCUUUUCUCUAAAAAAAAAUAGUAAUUUUAGACACACAUAAAAGUAUAAGGAUAAAUUACACUCAAGGUCACUCUAAAAUAGGGUUUGUCCACUCUAAAUUUUUUUUCAAUUUAAUCACUUUAGUUAAGAUAAUUACUCAAACUGGUCAUUGUGUUAAAAAUUUCGUUAAUCCACUAACGGAUUAUUAAUGUGGCAUAUUAACCAAUUAAAUGAUGAUACAUAGCACUUUUUUUUUAAAUUUUAACAAAAACUUAAGGACUUCUCUAUAAUUAAUCCAACACACUUUAUUUUCCCUUUCUCUUCUCUGUUCUCUCUUCUCUCUAACUCAAAAAAGAGAAACCAGAACAGGCAUCUCAAAGCUACAUGCCUUUCACCAUUUUCUCAACAAUGGAUCUAUGGCAACUAUCAACGAUAACCAACCAUAACUAAAGAGGAAUGAACAUAUAUAAAUAAGAAUGGAUGUAUGGCAUGGUUAAGGGAAGUGCAAGGGCAAAAGCUUCAACCUGUAUAAUUCGUUAUAUGCAGGCAAUUCGAAUUUUGGAGAGCUAAGCCAAAAUUCUAUACGUUUAAUAGAUUUGAAUAAUAACCUCAUGUUCAGAUAUUUUGCUAUAUUUAAAGAGUUUGGCUGCACACCUACAAGAUUUUACACGAUUUUUUUAUUUAUAAACUAUACCACAGCUAUAUGUAUAUUGUGAUCAUUUAACUAACAAUUUUUUUAAUUUGGUCGUCAUCCAACUGAUCAAGAAUUUUUUUGGUCCAUUUACAUUAAGUGUUGUUAAAUCUCUUACGAGAGGAAACGUAGCAAUUAAAAAAUCGAUAAUAAUAAAUUUAGCAUUUAAUUUUUACAUAUUAUUUCGAUUUAGUCAUAAAUUUAAAAAAAUUAACCCUCGAAGUUUACAAAUGGUCUCAAUUUGAUCCUCAUCUUUUUUUAAUGAUUUUUAAGUUUAAAAAGACUUUAUAAAAUUUUAAAUUUUAUAAAAUUAAUUAAUUGUUGGCAUGUCAUCUAUAUGGCAAUCCUCGAGUAUGCCACAUUAGCAAAGUUAACAAAUUAUCAAGGAGUUGCUUCUAUUGGUUUGAUUGUAAUUGCUAUUCUCAAUGAGUUGCUUUGUUUUCAUUUAGAUUCUAUGUUUGCAAGUAAAAAUUAACAUAUGCUAUGGAGGCUUGUCUAGAUUAUGAAUGAGGGCAUGUUGAGAGCACUUGUACUCAUUCAUUGAGGAACUGUUUGGUGUGAUAGUGCAAAUUGAAUUGUAAACAUUGGGUGUUUACUUCCCAAGUUCUCAUGGAGAGUAUUUAGAGGUGAAUGUUGUAGUUUUUAGGUACAAUGGUGGGAUUUCUACUUGGGGAGUGAUAGAAUGUGAUUCACUUGUUGUAUUGUGGAGUAAAAAUUACGUUUAUAUUUUAACAGGACAAAUUGAUUAACGCGAGUGACUAGUUUGAAUAUUUAUUUUAACGAGAAUAACUAAAUUAAGAAAAAAAUUAGAGUGACCAAAAUAGGACAAACUGCAUUGUAGUAUAUAAACAUAAAUUGAUUUAUUUUCAAUAAAAGUUGAAGUAGUAUUCCUUAUCAAAAUUUUGCUUUUCUUACUCAAAUUCCGUGUUUUCCAUUAGCUUUUCCUUCUCUUUUUUCUCCUUUAGCUUUUAGUAGACUUUUGUUUGACUCAACUUUAUAACCUUUUGUGGAUAAAUAAAUUUCGAAUUUAAUGCAUUUUGUUGGAAGAAACUUCCUUGCGCUUCAUGCAUUUUUGUGUUUUAGCUAUAGCUUACUCUAUAUAUUUGGAGUUGUGAGCCAUGGCAAUUGCAACCAUGACUACUCCUCUUCCUAUUUCCUUAUUCCCUUUUCUUCUUCUCAUUCCCGCUAUCUGUUUUACAGUUUGUCAUGCCAAUUCCAACCUACUUUGCAUUCAGAGUGAGAGAGAAGCUCUUUUGAAAUUCAAGAAUCAUCUUAUUGAUCCUUCAAACAGGCUAUCGUCAUGGGUUGAAGGUGGGGAUUGCUGUGAAUGGACUGGUGUCGUCUGCCAUAACUCCACCGGCCACGUCAACCAACUGCACUUGGCCGCUCCUCUUUCAGAGCCUGAUGGCUUUGCAACAAAUGCUGAAAUGGAAGCUUACUACAAUUCCCGGCUAGGAGGCAAAAUAAAUCCUUCACUGCUGGAGUUGAAGCAUCUCAGUUCCCUGGACUUGAGCUAUAACGAUUUUAACAGCAUACAUAUCCCGAAAUUUUUCGGUUUGCUGGAGAGUUUAACAUAUCUUAAUCUCUGUCGAGCACAAUUUCAGGGACCAAUUCCUCAUAACCUUGGGAAUCUCUCAAAGUUGCAGUAUCUUGAUCUUGGAGGGAAUAAUCUCAAAUCAAAAACUCUUCAAUGGGUUUCUGGACUUUCUUCCUUGCAGUACCUUGAUUUGAGUUAUGCGGAUCUUCAUACAGCAAAUGAUUGGGUACAGGUGACACUCAAACUUCCUUCUUUGUUAGAGUUGCACUUUUCACGUUGUAGUUUAGACAAUGAUCCAUCUUCGAUCAAUGUUAAUUCUUCAAAAUCACUGGUUGUUCUUGAUCUUUUUCGGAACCGCUUUUCUUCAGUACCUAAGUGGAUAUUUAGUCUUCAUGGUCUUGUGUCCAUUGAUCUUAGUGGCAAUUCUUUGGAAGGCCCAAUUCCAGAUUACUUUGGGAACAUCUCGUUUCUUGAAGUUCUUGAUCUUAGUUGGAACCAUCUCAAUUCAUCCAUACCCAAUUCCUUGUAUAGUUUAAACCGUCUUCAGUUCCUUAGUCUUAGGGAUACCCAGUUACAAGGACCAAUCUCGAAAAUCAAUUAAAUGGUCAAGUUCCAUUGUCUAUAGGGGAGCUAUCAUCUUUGAAGUUGUUUAAUGUUUCAAAAAAUCAGUUAAACGGCCAAAUUCCCUCGUCUAUAGGGCAGUUAUCAUCUUUGGAGGUAUUUGAUGUUUCAGAAAAUCAAUUAAAUGGUACUUUUCCUCUAUCUUUGGGUCGACUAGAAAGUUUGGAAACUCUGGAUUGUGGGUAUAAUCUAUUAGAAGGAGUUGUAUCAGAAACCCAUUUUUCUAAUCUCACGAGAUUGACAACUCUAGCAGCAUCACACAAUCGGCUUAGAUUUGAACCAAACUCAAGCUGGAUUCCCCCAUUUCAAUGUGAAAGUAUCGAAUUAGGUCACUGGCAUCUUGGCCCAAAGUUUCCCCAGUGGCUAAAAUUCCAAAAGGAAUUGUUUUAUUUGGAUAUCUCCCAUGCAGGAAUUUCAGAUGUCAUGCCCACUUGGUUUUUGAACCUUCCCACUUCAUUUAAAUCUUUAAACCUUUCCUCGAAUCAACUUAGAGGAGAGAUUUCAUAUUUGAAUGUGAGAAACUCUGUUGAUUUGAGUUCAAACCGAUUCAUAGGCCCAUUGCCAAGAGUAUUCCCAACUUUAUUAUUUCUAAUUUUAUCAAAUAAUUCAUUUUCGGGAUCUCUUUUUGAAUUAGUUUGUAAUUCAUCAAGUGGGAAAUGGAUGGAAGUUCUUUACAUUGAUAAAAAUCUUAUCUCAGGAGAUAUUCCAGAUUGUUGGAAUCAUUGGCACCAUUUGAAACUUUUAAAUUUGGAAAGCAACAAUUUGACCGGAAAAAUCCCACCUUCUUUAUGGCAUCUAAAUUUUAUAAUGCUAAACCUUCGAAAUAAUACAAUGUUUGGAGAAUUGCCAUCCACAUUGCAAAAUUCUCCAUAUUUGAUUAUGUUUGAUCUUAGUGAAAAUCAUUUCGGUGGAAGUGUACCAGCAUGGAUUAGUGAUAAGCUCUACCUUGUGAUUCUAAGCCUUCGAUCAAAUAACUUCGAUGGACAUAUUCCUCAUGAAAUUUGUGAUCUUCAAUUUCUUCAAAACUUGGACCUUGCCCACAACAACAUUUCUGGAGUUAUUCCAAAAUGUUUUAAUAAUUUAACUGCAAUGGCCACAACAAACAAAACCAAGAAUGGAUGUAUGGCAUAGAUAGGGCAAGGGCAAAAGCUUCAACCUUUAUUAUUCGUUAUAUGCAGGCAAUUCCAACUUUUGGGAGCUAAGCCAAAAUUCUAAACCUCUAAUAGAUUUCAAUAAUAACCUCAUCUUUGUAAUAUUUAAAGAGUUUGACGGCAGACCUGCAAGAUUUUACAACAUUUAAUGAUUUAUUGAUUUAUUUAUUUACAAGCUAAACUAUACCACAGGUUAUAUGUCACUUUUUUAUUAUCUAUCAUUUUUUUAAUUUGAUCACCCAACUAAUCAAGAUAUUUUUUUAGUCAAUUUCCGUUAAGUACCGUUAACUCUCUGAAGAAAGGAUGAUGUAGCAAUUAAAAAAUCGACAAUAACAAGUUUAGCUCUCAACUUUUACAUAUUAUAUUGAUUUAGUUAAAUUCUUUAAAAAAUUAACUCUCAAAAUUUACAAAUGGUCUCAAUUUGAUCCUCGUAUUUUUUUUAAUAAUGUUGAUUUUUAAUUUUAAAAAUAAUUGUUAGAAUUUUUUAAAUUUUAAAAAGUAAUUAAUUGUUACAAAUGGUUUGUUUAUGUUUGUGGUUGAUUAUAUAGGAUUCAGAUCAUAGAUCUAUUAAAUGCCACUUUUUAAAAGAGAUUACUUGAAUCAAUUGAUCUAAACUUCAAGUUCAGUUUUAGUACCCAUACAAGAAUCAAGGGCAUUUCAAGCUUGUGUAAUUUAUUGAAAGUGUGCUUUGAUGUAUGAUUGCGUUUAAUUGUAUGUCAAUAAUGCGGAUGUUGUUAUGUCUCUCGGGGUUUGAGUACGCCAGAUUUAGUCCUUGUAUUGAUGUAGCUUACGCCAUUCGGGAGGCGUUGUCAUGGCUAAAGGCUCUGCUCUUCGAUAAUGUGGCCAUUGGGUCUAAUUGCUUGGCUGUUAUGACUGCUUGCACUCCGCCAAUAAUUGAUGCAUCUGAGCUAGGUGUAUUGUUACAUGAUUGUUUAGUGCUGAAAGAUUAGUUUAAGCAUCUGUCCUUUCUUUUGGACUAGUCAGUGUGUCAACAAGACAAUCCACUUACUUGUGUGAGCAGCUUUCUCAUAUGCAAACCAUAUGGAAUGGGAUAUUUUUUCCCUUGCAUCUUUUUCAAAGAAUGUUGCAAUUAUACCAUAUGUUGAUAUAAAUGAGGAUUAAGGAUAGUAGGUUCGGGUUUAUGUAGUGAGCCUAUUGGCUCAGGUUUAGUGAUUUGUCUCCUCCUUGUGUUCGCUUGUGUUUUGUGAUUUUCUCAUUAAUGAAUUUCUUUUCUUUCAAAAAAAAUUAGUAAUUUUAGACACGCAUAAAAAUAUAAGGGUAAACUACACUUAAGGUCACUCUAAAAUAGGGUUUCUCCACUAACGGAUUAUUAUGUGGCUUAUUAACCAAUUAAAUGAUGACACAUAGCAUUUUUUUUUUCACUUUUGACAAAAACUUAAGGACUUCUCUAUAAUUAAUCCAACACACUUUUUUUCCCUUUCUCUUCUCUCUCUAACUCAAAAACGAGAAACCAGAACAGGCAUCUCAAAGCUACAUGCCUUUCACCAUUUUCUCAACAAUGGAUCUAUGGCAACUAUCAACGAUAACCAACCAUACAUCCACAAAUAACUAAAGAGGAAUGAACAUUUAUAAAUAAGAAUGGAUGUAUGGCAUGGUUAAGGCAAGGGCAAGGGCAAAAGCUUCAAUCUCUAUAAUUCGUUAUAUGCAGGCAAUUCGAAUUUUGGGGAGCUAAGCCAAAAUUCUAUACGUCUAAUAGAUUUGAAUAAUAACCUCAUGUUGAGAUAUUUUGCUAUAUUUAAAGAGUUUGGGUGCACACCUACAAAAUUUUACACGAUUUUUUUAUUUAUUUAUAGGAUAAACUAUACCACAGCUAUAUGUAUACUGUGAUCAUUUAACUAACAAUUUUUUUAAUUUGGUCGUCCAACUAAUCAAGAUUUUUUUUGGUCCAUUUCCAUUAAGUGUUGUUAAAUCUCUUACGAGAGGAUAACGUAGCAAUUAAAAAAUCGAUAAUAACAAACAAAUUUAGCUCUUAAUUUUUUACAUAUUAUAUCGAAUUAGUCAUAAAUUUUAAAAAAUUAACCCUCAAAGUUUACAAAUGGUCUCAAUUUGAUCCUUAUAUUUUGUUAAUGAUUUUUAAUUUUAAAAAUAAUUUAUAAAAUUUUAAAUUUUAUAAAAUAAAUUAAAUGCUGACAUGUCAUCUAUGUGGCAAUCCAAGAGUAUGCCACAUUAGCAAAGUUAACAGAUUAUCAAAGAGUUGCUUCUAUUGGUUUGAUUGUAAUUGCUAUUAUCAAUGAGUUGCUUUGUUUUCAUUUAGAUUCUAUAUUUACAAGUCGAAAUUGACAUCUGCUAUGGAGGCUUGUCUAGAUUAUGAAUGAGGGCAUGUUGAGAGCACUUGUAUUCAUUCAUUGAGGAACUGUUUGGUGCGAAAGUGCAAAUUGAAUUGUAAACAUUGGGUGUUUACUUCCUAAGUUCUCAUGAAGAGAAUUUAGAUGUGAAUGUUCUAAUCUUUAGGUACAAUGGUGGGAUUUCUACUUGGGGAGUUUAAAACCCAAAUUCUGCUUGGGCCCAUUAAAACCAAACUAAAAUAAACCAAAUAUAAAAGUCCAAAUAAUAUAGCAGUCCAAUAAUAGUCUAUUAACCCAAUAAGGCCCAAUUACAAUAAAACUCAAAUACCAUUUAGCCCAACUAAACUUAAUAGCCCAAAACCCAAACCCUAGCCCAAUUACAAUGAAGCCCAAAAAAACAAUUUUCAGAAACCCCUAGGGUUUCUGGUACAGUUCAACCGCCGCAACAGUAGCCCAAGUGCGCCUCUGCUCUCCCUCGCACAUGCGCCUCCAUACGCCAGUACCUGCAACAAACACAAACAAACAAGCAGCGAAAAAGAAGGAAACGUGGAAUAGCAAAAAAAGAGAAGCAACAGCAAAUAGCAAAAUAACAGAAAUAGAUUUUUUUUAUUAUUUUUUAUUUAUUUAUAUUUAUUAUUUCGGCUAUAUAAGGCCCAUUGUAAAUUUGUAAAAGGAUACGAAGAGGGAUGUUGACACUAUUUUUUUGUCAAAACGGUGUUGACUUGGGUUUUGAAAACGAAAAUAAAAAUGGGAGUCGCCACCAAUCCUUUUUGAUAAGGUGUGAUUGGAUCACCUUGAAAAGUGGUUGUUUUUAAUAAACGUGUACAGCCCAAUAUUUGCCCAGCCCAAAACUCAAACCCAAUACCCAACCACCCUGGCCCAACUAACCAAACCCUAGCCCAAACCCAUAACAGAAAGAAACAAAAAAAAUUCAAACCCUAGGCGCAGCACCUAGGCCCUUCUACCGCCGCACCUAGCCUCUGUCAAAGUCGGCCACUUGCUCUGCCACUGCCGCACGUCCCAUUGCCAUGCCCACUUGCUCCAUCAGCGUCAAUCACCUGCAAACAAAUAGCAAAAGAAAUAGACCACAAAAAUAGGAGCAGGGGGGAUUUUGUGUUUUUUUUUCGGUAUAAAAAAUCGAUUGCAAACCAUUGUAAUGGGGGGAUUUUUUUUGAAAAUAAUAAAAAGAAAACGGUUCAGAAAAAAAGAAAAGAUUCAAGGUUGUUUUCUUAUUUUUGUUUUUGUUUUUUGUUUUUUUUCUUCUUGAUUUUUUUAUUUCGAAAUAUUAAAUAAAAAAAGAAAAAAGGAGGUUUUUCUUACCUUUUCGCCGUUGUCGGAGUGCUCGGGGGGCGAAGGUUUGCAUCGGAGGGAAAAAGGGGAAACUUUUGGUCUCUUCGCCACCGUGCACGGCGGCACCGGCGGCCGACACGAUGGCCAAUGGUCGGGCCCUUGGCUGGAGAAGGGAGAGAAGGGAGAGUGUUUUUUGAAGUUUUUUUUUUUUUGAAAAGGAGAAGAAGAAUGAAAUUUUUUUUAAAACAAAAACUGACUUAAAUAGGCUUCCAAAACAACGUCGUUUUGGGCAACCUUCUCAAGCACCAAAACGGCGCCAUUUUAAGGCCGACCCGCAUGUGACCCGACCCCCUCCAGGGGGAUCCGCGUGUUUUCAAUGGAAGGGCUAAUUGCACUUUUAGCCCUUCCGCUUUUUAAUGUUUUCACAAUCAUGAUUUUUUACAUUUUUAAAUUUACCCCGUUAGUUUAUUUCGGAUUUCAAUUUAGGCUUUUGUGAAACUACGUCGUUUUGGAGGAGAAGGGAAAAUUUCCCUUCCAGUCCCCCAUGUUAUCCGCGCGUUCAAAUAAGUCUCUUCUUUUCAUUUAUUUUAAAUCCGGCCCCAUUUUUUUUGUUUUUAGUUCAAUUUAGUCCAUGUUUUAGCUAUCUUAUUAUUUAAUUAAUUUUUUCUAUUAUUAUCAUUAUUAUACUACACCAUUUGUAAUACCCAAUUGUUGCCCGGGCCCAAAUACAUUUGGCCCAAUUGGCCCAAAAUUAACCCUAGCCCACAACAUGUUUUCAGCAGCAAUGGAAGCAGAAGCCUAGGGCACGCCGCACGUUCUCCAUCUGCAGUAACGGCUCCAUCAUCCCACGUCGCAAUCACCCACGUUCAGCGAUCCCUCGCGUCUACCAUGCACGUUCGUCCUACAAACUAACCACGAACAACAAGAUAUACACGCAAAAAAAAAACCUUGUAAAAGGGGAUUCGGCUAUAUAAAGUAAAUUGAUUCUUUGUACGAGGGGGAAGACAAAUUUGGAUUGAAAGAUUAAAGAAAAUAAAAGAAAACAGAAAAGGAAGAAUUUUGGAGGUGUUUUUAUUUUUCUUUUGUUUUUUUUCUCUGUUCCUUUAUAUAUUUUAUUUUAUUUUUCUUGUACUUCUUAAAACAAAGAUAAACGAAAAAGGAGAAAGAAAGUUACCGUCGUGAGAGUCGUCGGAGGGCGUCCUCGCUUCGUCGGAGUCUGAAACGACAGAGGGAAAGAGGAGUUGCGACGUAAUUUCAAGUUGGCAGAAAGAAUAAUGGUUUUAGGGUUUCAAAAAGGGGCUUUUAUCGAGUGUUUAAACGGCGCCGUUUAAGCCUUUAACCCGUAUGACCCGACCCGCGCAUGUAGGAUCCGCGCAUUUCUCUCAAAUGGAAAAUUUUCGCGAUUGGUCCUCUGUUUUUAUAACAUGCUUAAAUUGAUUCUUUCAUGUUUUCUUAAAUGUGGCCGUAUUUUCCAUUGUUUAUUUUUAAUUUGGUCCAGGCUCGCUGUUGUUUUGGAAGGCUUGGAACAUUUCCGAAUGGGUCCUCUAUGUUAUGCGCAUUUUACAAAUUUGCUCUCUGUUUAAAUUUAUUUUUGUUUUUUUCCUUUUAAUUUUGUUUUGAUUACAAUUUAAAUUUUAGUAUUUGUUUUACUAAUUAAGUUUAAUUAUAGUUUGUUUUAUUAUUAUCAUUAUAAUUAGUAUUAUCAUUAUUAUAUUUACUCAUGCAUACGCACUUUAUAAUAUAUAUGUAUAUAUUUUAAAUGUUUUUAUAUUCAUAUAUAUAUAUAUUAUGUAUAUUUUGUUAUAUUUAUUUUCAUAGCUUUUAUAUACAUAUAUAUAUUUAUAUUUUAUAAUAUUUAUACAUUUUUCAUAUUUUAUAACUUAUACAUAUAUACACGCAUAGGUGUUAAUGUAUAUAUGUAUAUAUUUUGAAUGUUUUUAAAUAUAUAUACAUAUUUUAUUAUUAUCUUAUUUUCUUAGUUUAUAUAUAUAUAUAUAUAUACAUUUACAUUUUAUAAUACAUAUACAUUUUUCCAUUUUAUAUUUCAUACAUAUAUACAUUUUCUUUAUGUUAUAUACAUACAUAUUGUUUUUAUAGUAUAUAUAUACUUACUUUUUUUGCUUCAUUUUAUAUAUACAUUUAUAUACAUACAUAUUCUCAUACACAUAUAUAUAUUUUCAUAGUUUAUUUAUAUAUUAUAUUUAUAUAUAUAUAUUAUUUUACUUUGUAAAUCUAUACACAUAUACAUACUUUUAUAUUUUUAUCUUAUUCUCAUAAAUUUCACAUACAUAUGUAUACAUACAUAUUUUCUUAGAAAUUAUAAUAAGUUUUUGUUUUGUUUUAUAUAUUUCAUUUUUUAUUAUUUUAUAUAUAUAUAUAUAUAUACUUGUAUAUACAUGUUUUAUUAUAUACAUAUUUUUAAAAUUACUUAUAUAUCUUAUUUUAUUUUGCGAGUACAUAUACAUAUAAUUUAAAUUAAAAUAAUGGUUUCAUGUUAUACACUAACAUUUUAUCAUACUUUUAAAGAAAAUAUAUUUUGUUUUCGUUAAGCAUUAAAGUCAUCGUAUUUAUAAAUUUCUAAAAUAUUUGGCCUUCAUGACUCUCGAGAAAAUAAUCGUGUCCUAACGUAUUGGAUUUCGAUUAUUUUUCGACGAAUUUAGAAGGCCAAGUAUUUAUUUUUUUCAAUAAGAUCACACAAAUUUCAAAUAAAAGCUUAUUCUCGGGAAUUCAAAAAUAUCGGGUCCUAACUUACUGGUCAUGACAUUUCGUCCUCUCGAAAUAAGAAUUUCUAAAAUAAAAGGAAAUAUGCGAUAUUUGGAAUUUUGAGAAAUUGUGCCCUAACGUAUUGGGUUUCGAUUUUCUUCAUUCAACCUAAAUAACCGAAUAUCUUUCUUAGAUUUAACUAUGUGAGUUUUAAAAUCAAAAGACAAACUUAAAUUUAAAGAUUUAAAAAUAUUGCGCCCUAACGCACUGGGUGUGAUGUUUUAUCUCUUUGAAAUAAGAAUGUUUUAUUAUUUUAAUUCAUUCACAAGUUAAAAGUUUUCAUUCAAAAUCUUUUCAAAUUUUCGACACCAAGACAUUAAACAAUCAAUUUGGUACCGAUUUUGGGCGUUACGAGGGUGCUAACCCUUCCUCGUGCGUAACUGACUCCCGAACCUGUUUUCUCAAAUUUCGUAGACCAAAUUUAUUUUUAAGGUGAGCCGAUCACACCUAAAUCAUGGAUCGGUGGCGACUCCAAUUUUUGUUUUCAAAGUCGAUAACUAAAUUUUUGUUUUCAAAAAAAUGGUUUCAACACCAUUAAUAUUAUAUUAUUAUUGUUAUUAUUAUUUCUUCAUCUAUAUAUAUAAUUUUUAAUUUUCCAAUCUUGUUAUAUAUAGAUAGCAUAUGUUUUAUAAUAUAUAUAUACAUACGUAAUUUUUUAAUUUUUACAAAUAUAUAUACAUACUCAUAUAUUUUAUAUAGUUUUUAUGUAUAUAUAUAUAUGUGUGUGUGCAUACUUACAUAUACUUUCAUAUUCAAUAAUUUUACAAUAUAUAUACAUAUAUAUUUUUCAUAUUUUCAUAAGUUUGUGUACAGACUUAUACAUAUAUAUUUUAUUUUAUUUUAUUUUUCUUCAUAAAUGUAGAUAAAUGCUUGUAUUUACGCAAUUUUAUAUUAUGUAUAUACAUUUUUAUAUUACUUGUAAUCAUGUGCAUACGCAUACAUAUAUAUAUAUAUGUGUGUGUACAUGUAUAUGUUUUAUAAUUUAUUUCUAUAUACAUGCACAAACCUAUAUGUAUAUUUAUAUUUUUUAUACAUAUCUAUAUAUAUGUAUAUACUUACAUACACUCUUCAUAUUUCAUAACUUAUAUACUUAUAUAUCUAUACCCAUGCCCCAUGUCCAUAAAUAUGUACUUAUAUAUUCUUUAUGCUUUUAAUAUAUAUAUUUCCUUGUAGAUAUUUUCUCUGUUUUAUGACUCGUGUAUACUUAAACAUAUUUUUAUAUUCUAUGUUUUUAUAUACAUAUAUGAGUGUAUACUCAUAAAUUAUAUAUGCACAUUUAUAUAUAUAUCUAUAUACGCAUACUUAUUUUUGUAAAUACAUGUAUAUAAAAACAUACUUUUGUGUACCUUUUAUAAUUUAUAUAUAUAUAUAUAUAUGUAUGUUAUGUAUUUGUUUACUUACCUGUUUAUAUAAUAAUUUUAAAAGAUACAUCUAUAUAUGUAUUUUUACAUUUUUAUGAUUUUGUGUAUAUACACACACAUAUAUAUAUCUUUUCACAUUUCCAUAAUUUUAUUUAUUUUCUUUGUUUUAUUCGUGUUCAUGUUAUUUAGAAUGAAUGUUUUAAUUUUAUUGCUUAUACGUUUGCUAUUUGUACUAUAUUAGUUUGUCUUUGUAUUUAUUUUAUUUUGUAGACCUUGCUUGUAUUAUUUUACUUACAUCAUCAUAAUUGUCAUUCCAUUACGUCAAUUUUUACUUAGAUUUCAAAAAAGAAAUUUUAAAAAAAUAAGUAAUACUUGAUAUUUGGGAUCUUCGAGAGAAUCGAGCCCUAACGUAUUGGGCUCCGAUUUUCUUUGUCGAACCUAAAUAAUCGAGAUUACUCUUUCAAAAAAUAAUAAAAUGUUCAUUAUCGGGAAUUCAAUAUGUUGUGUCCUAACGCAUUGGAUAUGACCCGUUGUUUUCCCGAGAGGAGGAUUUUUUUUCUAAAAAAUAAUAAAUGCAAUAUUCAAUGUUCAGAAUUUUGAGAAAUUGUGCCCUAACGUAUUGGGUUGCCUUUUUUCCUGACUUAAACAAUUGAAUAUCCUUUUAAACUUUAUUACACAAGUCUUUUUUCAAACAUAAGCUUUAAACGACCUCGGAAAUUAAGAAAAGAUCAAGUCCUGACUUACUGUGCCUGAUCCCUUUUUUCUAAAAUCCGAGAUAGCCAAAUAUCUUUUAAAUAAGCAUUUUUUAUUCGCGUAUCGAGAAUUCGAGACAUUGUGUCCUGACUUACUAGAUAUGAUUCUCUUUCUCGAUUAACGUGAAAUAUGCCUCUUUUCCUAAAAUUUUUUAACAUUUUAAUGCCAGAAUCAUAUUUUUAAAGUUUUUAAUUUUCAACAUUAAGACAUUAACUAAUCAAUUAGGUACCAAUAUUGGGCGUUAUGAGGGUGCUAAUCCUUCUUCGUACGUAACCGACUCCCGAACCCGUUUUUCUAAAUUUCGUGGACCAAACUCGUUGUUUUAAUAAAAUUAAAUUAUUUAUUAAAAACAAUCAUUUUUCAAGGUGAUCCGAUUACACCUCGUCAAAAAGAUCGGUGGCAACUCCCUUUUUUUCGUUUUCAUUUUUAAAUCCAAGUCAACCCCGUUUUCAAAAAAAAUGGUGUCAACAAAACGAUUUGAUUUUAUUAAAACAACAGUUUUGGUCCAUAAAAUUUAGAAGAAUGGGUUCGGGAGUCGGUUACGUACGAGGAAGGAUUAGCACCCUCGUAACGCCCAAAAUUGGUACCUAGUCGAUUAAUUAAUGUCUUAGUGUCGAAAGAUUGAAAACUUUGAAGAGAUUUAAAAAUACGAUCCUUUAUUGAAAUGCUAAAAAUAUUCGAAAAGAAAAAAGGGCAUACUUUAUGUUGAUCGAGAAAUAGAAUUGCAUCCCGUAAGUUAGGACACAAUGUCUUGAAUUCCCGAUGCACGAACGAAUGCCAAGAUUUAUUUAUUUGAAAUAUAUUUGAUUAUUUCGUGUUUAGGAAAGAUAUCAUGUCCCGUGAGUUAGAACACGAUCUUUUGUUAAUUCCUGAGUGCAUUUAAAAACUUUAUUUUGAAAUGAUUCGCGUAUUUAGAUUCAUCGAGAAAAUCAAAAUCCCGUAAGUUAUGAUACGAUUUUUUCGAAUAUCAUAAUACGAAAAGAAGAACAAAUUUUGAUAUAUUAAGUAAAGUAAAACACAAUGUCGUAAAAAAUGCGAAAACGAAUUACAUUGGAUACGCAUACGGAAUAAUAAUGAAUACGGUAGCGUAACUUAAUAUGAACGAUAAUAUAUAAAAAAACGAAUUAAUAGCAUGCUGAAUAACAAGUAUAUAAGUAGAUAAGCGAGAAUAAGCGAAUAAAUAAUUGAAAAAAUGCAAAAGGGUAUAUGCAUACGUGUAUAAAGUAUAAGAUAUAAUAAGAAAUAUGCAAGCAUGUAUAUAUGAAAAUUAAAAAUAUGUAUACAAAGACAUAUAGAUAAAGUAAGAUUUAAAGUAUUUAGAUAUGUAAAUUAAGAAAAUAAAAAAUAAAAAUACGUAUAUAACGGCAUAUAUAAGAUAUAUGAAAAAUAUAUUUAUAUAUAAAAAUUAAGAAAUACGUGUAAUAUAUACAUAUAAGAUAUAAAGGGUAUACAUAUAUGAAAACUAAAAAUACGUGUAUAAGGAUAUAUAUAUAUAUAUAAUAAGAUAGAAGAUAUAUAUAUAUAUACGAAGAUAAAAAACGUAUAUAAAGAUAUAUAUAAUAUAAGGUAUAAAAUGUAUAUAUACAAGUAAGUAUUUAUAUAUUUAUAAAAAAAAGAUGUAUAUGGAUGUGUAGAUAAAUAUAUAUAUAUAAAUUAUAGAAUACCAAAGUAUGUAUAUGUAUAUUAUAAAAAAAAUAAGUACAUUAUAGAAACAUUUGCGUGUAUAUAUAUAUGGAUAACAAAAUUUGUUGUUUAAAAAGUGUAGAUAGGUAAAUAAUUAUAAUAAUAUUAAUGAUGUAAUGUGAUAGUAAUAAUAUUAAUGAUAAAUAAUGAUAAUAAGUGGAUGAGAGAUAUGAAAAUAAUAAUAAUAAUAGUAAUAUCAGUGAAAAUAUUAAUAAUAUUAAAUAAAUAAUAAUAACAAUAUUAACAAUAAUUUAUAAUUAUGUUAAUAGGAACAAAAUAACAAUAAUACUAAUAAUAAUAAUAAUAAUGCUAAUAAUAAUAAGUGUCGAAACCGUUUUUUUUGAAAACAAAAAUUUUAGUUGUCGACUUUAAAAAACAAAAUUGGAGCCGCCACCGAUCCUUUAUUAAGGUGUGAUCGGCCCACCUUAAAAGUAAUUUUGGUCUGCGAAAUUUGAGAAAACAGGUUCGGGAGUCGGUUACGCACGAGGAAGGAUUAGCACUCUCGUAACGCCCAAAAUUGGUACCAAAUUGAUUUUUUAAAAUGCCUUAGUGUCGAAAAUUUGAAAUGAUUUUAAAAGGAAACUUUUUAUUUCAUGAAUGGAUUAAAAUAAUAAGACAAUUCUUAUUUCAAAGAAAUAAAACACCACACCCAGUAAGUUAGGACACAAUGUUUUUAAAUCUUCAAAAUACUCGAAUAUUGCCUUUUGUUUUUGAAAAUUCUUAUUUCGAGAAGAAAAUGUCAUGACCAGUAAGUUAGGACCCAACAUUCUGAAUUCCCGAGAAUAAGCUUUUAUUUAAAAUUUGUGAAUUUGUUGCAAAACAAAUACUUGGCUUCCUAAAUUCAUCAAAAAAUAAUCGUGAUCCAAUAAGUUAGGACACGAUCUUUCACGAGAAUUAUGAAUACCAAAUAUUUAAAAUUAUAAAACAGGAUGACUUAAAUUCCUUGAGAAAAUCAAAAAUAUAUUUUUAAAAUGGAUGCUGAAAAGGGUUAAGGUAAAACAUGGAACAGGUACCCUAAUUUCAAACAUGAAUGGAUAAAUAUUUACAAAUAUAUACAAAUACAAUAUACAAGUAAAUUUACAAACAAAAAAGAAGGAACGAAAUACAUCAAGCCCCAAAAAAAAUGCAUGUAUAUGUAUAUAUGUAUAUGAAAAUUAUGAAAAUAAAAUAAAGAUAAAAAAUAUAUAUGUGUAUAUAUUUACAAAAUAAAAAAAUGUAUAAGUAUAUACAUAAAAUACAAAACACAUAAAAGUUUUUUUUUUAAAUAUAUAAAAACAGAUGUAUAAAAGAUACGCAAGUAUUCAAAAAGUUUGAAAAAAAAAUACAUAUAAAAAAAUGUAUAUAUUUCAUAUAAAAAUAUGCGUAUGUACUACAUGAAAAAAAUGCAUAUAUAUACAAAUUAUGUAAAUACCAUGCGUAUAAGAAUAUAGAAAUAAUGAUAAUAAUCAUAAUAACAAAUAAUAUAACAAUAAUAAAUAUUUAAAAAUAAAAAAUAAGAAAAAUAGCUAAAAUGAGUUAAAUUGAACUUAAAAACGUAAAUUGGGGGGAAUUUUGAAUAAAAUUUUAAAAGAAAGGGGCCACUUGAACACGCGCGCAAUUAUGGGGGACUAAAAGGGAAAUUAUUCCCUCCCUCCAGAAACGCUGCGCAGCAGUGGGCUAAAUUGAAAUAAAAAUAAAAUGCGCGGCCCAAUUUCUAAUAAAAACAAAACAAAUUUAAUUGAAAUGUGCUGCAAACAGGAGGGGCCAAUUUCGCAAAUAGCCCAUGUGACGUCAGAGCGCGCGGAUCCUCCCCUUCGGGUUGGGUCACCGCGCGGGUCAGGCCCUGGACGAAACGGCACCGUUUUGAUUGUUAAUUAAAACAAUUUUCCUCAUUUUCAAAAUCAUUUAGAACCGAAUGAGGAAAAAAAAUAAAAAACUCAACAGGUGCUCUGCUAGGGUUUUAUCCCUAGCUUCCUCGCACUACUCCUCAGCCCACGCCGGCGCGCCGAUCACGACGGAGAUGGCCACCGGUCUGGCGUCCUCGGUGAAUGGGGUAAAAUCCUUCCCCCUUUUCCUUGUUUUUCCUUUUUUUUAAAAACGCAAAAAAAAAAGAAAAGAUAAAAAAAUUAAAAUAAAAUAAAAACUACAAAACUCGAUUCACCUUUAAAAAAAUAAAUUUGUAUUCUCUGUUUUUGCUUUUGAUUUCUUUGUCUAUCACUCCGUCCGUAAUAUCCGUCCCCUUUACAGAUUUUGAUAGGCCUUUUAUAGGCCAAAAGAAAGAGAAUAAAUUAAAAACAAAUUGUUUUCUUUGUUAUUUUUUAUUUCGGGACUCUUUGAAUCUGUUUUGCUGCAGGUGUUGUCCGCGCGAAUGACGUGUGUGGGGAGAAAGUUGGCCCCGAGACAUACGACCCUUGGAAUCUGCUGGAGGCGGGGAGCGCGACGCGGGGCUGCUGGGCGCACUUGAAGGCUUGCUGCGGCGCUCCUUAGAGCUAGGGUUCCUUUUGUUUUUUUUUUUGUGUUCUGAGCCAGGAACAGUUUUGGGUCGAUUGGGCCACUUAUUUGUUGGGUCUGCCAUGCCCUUUUUGUUUAAUUUGGACCCAGGCCAAUUGGGCCUUAUUACAGCUGCCCAUCUUUGCUCAUUGUCAUGUAAUGGGAAUAGAGCAAAGACUACAGGGCCCAAUUGUGCCUGGUCCUGCAGAGCCUCAACUUUUUCAACGCUUCUCAAAAGAACAAAAUCUGCUAUCCUUAACCUGCUCCACUGCAACUUCAGGGAGGUAAGACUUAUAGCUUCAAUUUGUUCUGUUACGACUUAAGGGUAAAUCUGAUGUGAUCUGCUCUACUGCAACUUCAGAGAGAUGAGAUCUGCGAUUUUAAUCCACUCCAUUGCAACUUCAAGGAGAUAGGAUUGGUUACUUUUGUUUGCUCCACUGCAACUUCAAGGAGAUAAGACUUGUAUCUUCGAUCUACUUCACCACCGGUAUGGGAAGACAAGAUCUGCUUUCUUUGAUCUACUUCAUGCCAGUACAUGAAGACAAGAUCUGUUUUCUCCGAUCUACUUCACGUCAAUACAUGAAGACAAGAUCUUCUUUUUUCGAUCGAUUCCACUGCCGAUCAGGGGAAUAGGAUUACUAGCUUCAAUAUACUCCACUGCAACUUCAAGGAGGUAAAAUCUGCCAUCUUUGGCCUGCUUCUCUGUCAGUAUAGGAAGGUAAGAUCUGUUUUCCUACUUCGCCACCAGUAUGGGAAGAUAAAAUCUAUAUAUUCGAUCCACUUCGCUACCGAUAUAGGAAGACAAGACCUACUAUCUUUGAUCUGUUUCACGCCGGUACAUGAAAACAAGAUCUGCUUUCUUUGAUCUGCUUCGCCACCAGUAUGGGAAGGCAAGAUCUGGUAUCUCUGAUCUACUUCACGCCAAUACAUGAAGACAAGAUCUACUUUCUUUGAUCUGCUUCGCCACCAGUAUGGGAAGGCAAGAUCUGCUUUCUUCGAUCUACUCCACCACCUGUACGGGGAGACAAGAUCUGGUAUCUAUGAUCUACUUCACGCUAGUACAUGAAGACAUGAUCUGUUAUCUUUCAACCUGCUCCACUGUUGCUCAGGGAGAUAAGGCUCUAUGAUUUCAUCAAUCUUCUCUCUGUGAAACAUGACCUGUAUAAUUCACUUUAUGAGCCUAAUUAUGCCUAAUGAUUAGGAUGUUAUGAUCAGAAUGAAUCAAAUGCUCCUAACUAGGCGUGUAUGAAUGGCAUUUGAACGUUAUGUCAUGAAAAAUAAAUAUUGAAUGUUUAAAGUCAUUAUUGCUCAUUAAGGCUUCCUUCGUGGCAACAACGCUUCGUCAAAACUUGAAAAAUUUAAAAUCUCGACUCUUAGCUCCUAGAUCCCACCUUUUAACCCGGUGAAGGUCUAAACAAUAGUCAUGUUUCAGGUUCCUAAGUUAUUUAAAGAUUUCUAGAGUAAUAUGAAAACUUCCUUUGUGAAAGUUUUAUUAGUCCAUUAAUCGUCAUUCUAAUGUAACAUGCUUGCGAAAAGAUCAUAACGAUGGAUAAAACAAGAUUAGUUUGGGAGCAUAGCUCGCAAUGGAUUGUCAAAGAUAGAGGAAUUUCCUGAGGAUAUUUAUAUUGGAGAAGAAGAAUGAAAUAUUCUAAAACAACGAAUUUAAUACAAAUACUAUGAUCAGGUGCCCCAGAUAUCUCUGAUUCGAAUUUCUCUAUACAAACUUUUUUUUUGAAGACCCUUCUGAAUUCAACAUGUGUUUAGAAGAUUCACAGUAGUUUGUUGAUGCCUCAAGAUGUCGUCCACUCUUUUCUGCCAAUUUAGGUGCAACAAGACUACCACGUGACGAACAAAAAUUUGAGCCGUCUUUUUCAGGUUUUCAACUCAAAUCCCCUUCGGUCUUAAGGUGCCCUUUGCAAGUUUUCACCUUAGCCUCUCAUUUCUUUUUUUUCUUUUUUUUUUUUGGGGGGAUCAAAGCGCCCUUUGCGGGUUUUCACCUUGGUUCCCUCCCUUUUUCAAGUAAAGUACCUCUUCACUGAAUCUGAAUUUACCGGAUUAGGCAAGUUUUUUCCAUCCAUUUCAGCCAGGAUCAAGGCUCCUCCAGAAAAGGCCUUUUUUACAACAUAAGGACCCUUCUAAUUCGGCAUCCAUUUCCCCCUAAAAUCCUUUUCUAGAGGAAGAAUUUUUCUCAACACCAGGUCCCCCUCGUGAAAUUCUCUGGGUCGGACUUUCUUGUUGUAGGCUCGCAUCAUUCUUUUCUGGUACAUCUGACCAUGCUGAAUAGCCUUUAGCCUCUUUCCCUCUAUCAAGUUCAACUGAUCGUAUCGAGAUUGAACCCAUUUCGCUUCAUCCAAUUGUAGCUCAGACAAAACCCGGAGAGAAGGGAUUUCAACUUCGAUGGGCAAGACUGCCUCCAUGCCAUAGACUAAGGAGAAAGGCGUUGCCCCGGUGGAGGUCCUAGUUGACGUUCGAUAAGCAAGGAGAGCAAACGGUAAUUUAUCGUGCCAGUCCUUGUAAGUCUCAGUCAUCUUCCCUACAAUCCUCUUUAUAUUUUUAUUGGCCGCUUCUACUGCACCAUUCAUUUUCGGGCGAUACGGCGAUGAAUUGUGAUGUCUGAUCUUGAAUUGACUGCAGACCUCUGCUAUUGAGUUGUUAUUCAAAUUCAACGCAUUGUCGGAUAUGAUUCUCUCAGGCAUUCCAUACCGACAUAUAAUCUCCCUUUUCAAGAACUUACUGACUGAUGACUUUGUAACGUUAGCAUACGAAGCAGCCUCUACCCAUUUGGUGAAGUAGUCAAUAACCACGAAUAUGAAACGAUGCCCAUUUGAAGCCUUCGGCGAUAUUGGCCCGAUGACAUCCAUACCCCACAUGGAGAAAGGCCAUGGAGAAGUCAUGACAUGAAGAGGCGAAGGUGGUGCAUGCAUUUUAUCACCAUAGAUUUGACAUUUAUGGCACUUUUUGGAAUAACUGAUGCAAUCCCCUUCCAUGGUGGACCAGUAAUACCCGAAUCUCAUAAUCUGUCUAGCCAUUGUGAAUCCACUAGCAUGCGUUCCGCAGAUGCCCUCAUGGACUUCCUCCAGGAUUUUAUUUGCUUCCACGACGUCCACACAUCUUAACAGAACCUGAUCUUUUCCCCUCUUGUAUAAGAUCCCCCCAUCUAAGACGUAAUCAAUGGCCAAUCUUCUCAGAGUUCUCUUUUUAUUCUCUGUUGCUUGGCCAAGAUACUCACGAUUUUUUACAUAUCGUAGUAUAUCUUGAUACCAAGGACUGUCAUCGAUUUCUCCUUUUUCAAUAUUGUAACAAUGAGCCGGGUCUUCAUAGAUACUCAUUUGGAUUGGCUUCAUAUCCUCAUAUCUGUUCACCUUGAUCAUGGAGGCUAAAGUAGCUAGUGCAUCAGCCAUCUGGUUCUCGUCCCGUGGGAGAUAGCAAAAAGUGAUGUCCUCAAACUUCUUAAUCAAUUCGAGGACCAACUUUCGAUAACUGACUAAUUUGGGAUCUCUCGUUUCCCAUUCACCCCUGAGCUGAUAUAUCACCAAUGUCGAAUCUCCAUAGACCUCUAACACUUUGAUUCUUCGCUCUAUAGCUGCACGAAUCCCCAUGAUGCAUGCUUCGUACUCUGCCAUGUUGUUUGUACAAUCAAAAUCCAAUUUGCAAGUGAAAGGAUAAUGAUCACCAUUUGGGGAUACUAAGACUGCCCCAAUUCCAUUGCCCACAGCAUUUGAGGCUCCAUCAAAGUUCAGCUUCCAACUGCGGCCUUUUUGGGGAUUUUCUUCAGUAGCGGCUAUACACAUCAGGUCUUCAUUCGGAAAAUCAAAACUUAACGGUUCGUAAUCUUCCAAAGCCCUGCUAGCCAGAAAGUCAGCAAUUGCACUCCCUUUCACAGCCUUUUGGCUCACAUAGAUAAUAUCAAAUUCAGACAGUAAGAUCUGCCAUCGGGCCAUCCUCCCAUUCAAAGCAGUUGACUCCAUCAUAUACUUUAACGGGUCUAACUUUGAGAUUAGCCAAGUCGUGUGGUAUAACAUAUACUGUCUUAAUCUCUGAGUUGUCCAAAUCAAGGCACAACAUAGCUUCUCAAUAGGCGAAUAUCUCAUUUCACAGUCAGUGAAUUUCUUGCUGAGAUAAUAUAUCGUCUUUUCUUUUCUCCCUGUUUCAUCAUGUUGGCCUAGCACACACUCCAUAGAAUUAUCAAAUACUGUCAAAUACAAUAUCAGGGGCCUAUCCGGGCUAGGUGGUGAGAGCACUGGAGUAUUAGACAAAUACUGCUUCACCUUGUUAAAGGCUUCUUCGCAUUCUUCAUCCCAAGUACCAGGAUUAUGUUUCUUCAGAAGACGAAAUAUAGGGUCACAUUUCUCGGUUAGUUGUGAAAUGAACCUAGCAAUGUAGUUCAGUCUUCCGAGGAUCCUCGAACUUCUCUCUGAGUGCGGGGUGAAGGUAAAUCCCAUAUUGCCUUCACUUUGUCUGGAUCAAUCUCGAUUCCCUUUCCACUGACCAAAAUGCCUAACAAUUUUCCUGACCCGGCCCCAAAAGUGCACUUCACCGGAUUAAGCUUGAGCUGGAACUUUCUCAAUCUUAAGAAUAAUUUUCUCAAGACCUGCACAUGUUCCUCCUCCGUUUUGGACUUCGUGAUCAUAUCGUCAACAUAAACUUCGAUCUCCCUAUGCAUUAUAUCAUGGAACAAGGCUACCAUGGCUCUUUGGUAUGUUGCUCCUGUAUUCUUCAAUCCAAACGGCAUUACUUUAUAACAAAACGUCCCCCAUAACGUAAUGAACGUAGUCUUUCUCAAGUCCUCGGGAUGCAUCUUUAUCUGAUUAUACCCAGAAAAACCAUCCAUGAAGGAAAACAAUGAAAAGCCCGCAGUAUUGUCUACCAAUGUGUCGAUGUGGGGUAAUGGGAAGUUAUCUUUUGGACUAGCCUUGUUCAAAUCCCGAUAAUCCACACACAUUCAUACUUUUCCAUCUUUCUUUGGAACUGGUACGAUGUUAGCCACCCACUCAGAAUACUUGACUUCUUGCAGAAAUCCGGCAUCAAACUGCUUUUGGACCUCCUCCUUUAUCUUCAACACGAUAUCAGGCCUCAUCCUUCUGAGCUUUUGCUGCACUGGCUUGCAAUCUUCUCUUAUAGGAAGACGAUGGACUACGAUGUCGGAAAUCAACCCCGGCAUAUCCUUGUAUGACCAUGCAAACACGUCUUUGAACUCUCGGAGUAAUUCGAUGAGGUCUUGUCUUGUUUUUGCAGAAAUAUCUGACCCGAUCUUCACCUCUUUACCUUCCUCCAAGCUCACAAUUUCUAUUGAUUCCCUAUAGGGUAGGAUUUGUUUCUCGGCCCUUUCUACCAUCUUCAACAAGUCAGGAGACAAAACACGGUCUUCGUCAUCCUUAAAAUCAUGCGAUCCCUCUAAACACGUGUUUCGUUCAAAAGGAGACUCUAAAUUUGUAAGAGUGACAUUCGUAUCAUUGAUAUCGUAGGACCUGUUAUAAAAACAAUAUGGAUUCAGGAAUAUGGUCAUGAAUGAAAUACAGGUGUAGUUUGGGAAAAAUUUAAAAUAAUUGCUCUUAUGGAAAGAAAGAUUUGCUCCAAUAAUGAUUGCAAACAUGAACUUCAUUAAAAUAACGAUUUUCUGGACAUGAGCCUACUUCACAAAGGAAUCCUUAUUACUUCUAGGCUAAAAAGCAAUAAGGGUGUUCUGGACAUUACUCUGAGGGAAUCCUAAAAAUUACAGGUAUCUCUUCUGCAGUCCAGUUGUUUAGCGCCCUUCCCGACUCAUAAGGACGAAUAUCCCGCAAGGUUCUUCCUCCCGUCGCUUCUUCAUACACGGUAUGAAUACUCUCCAACUCCGUGUUAAUACUUCUGACCCUUUGAUAGAGGAAUCCUCCCGAUACAAAAGUCUUGGAUAGGUGAGGAAAGGUCAUGGAUUCCAAUUCGACCUCAUCCCCUGUCAAACGAGCCCUUCUUCUCUCACGCUUCUUUUCUUGCUCUAUCUUCCUCUGCCUAGCAUCUGGCUUGUAUCCUAAGCCAAAACGGUCCUGCUUGUCUUUCAACAUUUGAGCCUCAACUCGGCCCUGAAGAUACUUCCCCAAUCCUUUUCUCGGUAAAACUCCCUUUCCUACUGUCAAUUGCAGACCCAUCUUUGUGGUCUUUGAUAUUCUCGGCAUCGGGAUCUUGUUUCCCUCAAGGAUGAAUGUUGCAUUUACAAAUUCCAAGGAACGGAAAGAGCACUCGAUUGCAUCAUCACUCGUCUCCAAAUAAGGAGCAUCGUUAGUCAUGGAUGCAAUGAUAUCCUCUUCAGCAUCUAUCGUCACUACCCGGCCCUCUGACACCAACUUCAGUUUUUGAUGUAACGAUGACGGUACCGCACCUGCUGAAUGGAUCCAAGGCCUUCUUAAUAGGCAACUGUAAGAAGGCUUGAUGUCCAUAACCAAGAAGUCUACCUCAUAGACAGUUGGGCCGAUUAACAAGGGUAUGUCAAUUCUACCCAUGACUUUCCUCUCGGUGCCAUCAAAUGCUCUCACCAUGUUCUGACACGAUUUCAUAUGCGAACUAUCCACAGGUAGCCUGUUGAGCGUGGAUAGGGGCAAUACAUUUAAUGCCGAUCCGUUAUCUACUAGAACUCCCGGUAAUAUGCAUCCUUUACACCUUGCAGUGAUGUGUAAAGCUCUAGUAGAUCCCAUACCCCCAGGCGGUAUUUCAUCAUCGCUAAAGGAGAUGAAAUUAUCAGCGCUUAUAUUGCCGACCAGUCGAUCCAACUUGUUAACAGAGAUAUCGUCAGCCACAUAAGUUUCAUUUAGCACCUUCAGUAGUGCAUUCCGAUGUCCCUCCGAGUUCAGGAGUAAAGCUAGCACAGAUAUGCGAGUAGGUUGUUUGUGCAGCUGUUCCACAACACUGUACUCGCUAUGCUUUAUGAACUUUAAGAACUCUCUAGCUUCCUCCUCUUUGAUUGGUUCAUUGACCAAUAAUUCGGGUUUGACCACGUUUUUCUUUUUUCCAACUGAAGUUUCCUUUCCUAUUGGCUUGACUCGUGCUUUCAUCUGUUCAUGGUGCCUUCCUUCAUCCUGCUCCUCUCUAUUAAUUACAUCCUCCUUCCCCGGGAUUGUCACAUUACAAUCGUAAUUCCAAGGAACCCUCCUGUUAUCUUUGUAAGUAAACACGGUCGGUUUUUGAAUGAUUACUUUUGGUGUUGUUCGUGCCCCAACCUCACUGUUCUGAGGUCGCGAGAUGAUGACCACAGGACGGUUAACCUUCGGGACCCCCAAUGCCAACUCUGAUGCGCAUACAUCACUUUCCUCUUGAACUCCUUCACAGAAUUUCACCUCCCUAUUGUCCAUCAUGCCUUGUAUCAGGGCUCUGAACUCCGUACAUUCUUGGAUUUCAUGCCCCACUUCAUGGUGGAACUCACAGUAAUUCCUCUUCCUUUCACAGCUUCCUUUUGAGACGAUUAGUCCCCUUUUCACCAUCUCCCUCCAGACCCUUCUCAAAGGAGUCUUUACAUCCGCAAUAUCUGCCUUGAUUCUUCUGUCUUCGCCCACCAUAUUUACCCCACCAUCAGUGUGGUCUGGUAAUAGAUUUUCUGCCUUGGUCGCGUCGUCAAAUUUAACGACUCCCAUACCAAUGAGCCUUUCAACCAACUUCUUAAAAGCCAUACAGUUUUCUAUAGAAUACCCCGUUAUUCCCACAUGAUAGUUGCACUGUGCAUUUGCAUCGUACCAUUUGGGAUACGGGGGUUGCAGGGGCUUCAGAUAAAAAGGGGAAACUACGUGUGCGUCAAAUAAAUUUCGGUAUAGUUCCCUGUACGACAUAGGAAUUGGCGUGAAUUGGGGCCUCUCAACAUUUCGCCUUGUACUGACCUCCUGUCUCGACGAGUUUUGCUGACUGGCAGCCACCUUUCCUGGCUGACUCACUGUUACUGACUUCGAGUAACCCUUGUUGUACAUGCUCGUGUUGUUCACCUCACUCUCCUUCCUCCUCGAGGCCGAUCUUCUGUUACUCUCUCCAGCAUCGAUCUUCCCACUCCUGAUGGCAUUCUCAAUCAUCUCGCCGUUCAUGACUAUGUCAGGAAAGCUUUUUGUGGCACUUCCUAACAUAUGUGUAAUGAACGGUGCCUUCAGGGUGUUAAUGAACAACAUGGUCAUUUCCUUUUCCAGGAGCGGUGGCUGAACUUGGACUGCGACCUCCCUCCAUCUCUGUGCGUACUGCCUGAAGCUUUCACUCGGCUUUUUCUCCAUGUUCUGAAGGGUGAUUCUGUCAGGAGCCAUGUCAGUCACAUGACUAUAUUGUUUCAUGAACGAUUGUGCCAAGCCCCUCCAUGAUCCAAUCGUGGCACGACUCAACUGAUUGUACCACUUGGAUGCUGCCCCAGUAAGGCUGUCUUGGAAACAGUGUAUCAAGAGUUGGUCGUUGUUAACAUAACCCAUCAUUCGCCUGCAGAACAUGGUGAUGUGAGCUGCUGGGCAGCUUGUCCCAUUGUACUUUUCAAAUUCAGGCAUCUUAAAUUUAUGAGGGAGUACUAAAUCUGGCACUAAACUCAGCUCUUUCGCGUUAAUGUCUCAAUAACUCUCAGCAACCUCCAUCGCCUUGAACUUCUCUUCGAGCCACCUACAUCUUUCUUCCAACUGCUUCGGUAACUCUUCCUUCACUCUUUCCUUCUCAACCACUUCAUCAAAGUCAGGGAUGGCAGAGUUAAUAGGAUUAUUUUCGGGAUUAAAACCCGGUCCAGUUUGGAGGUUCAAAAUACCAGCUCGAAAUUACUGAGGCAUGAUGGUGACAGUAGAUUUGCGCGGGUAUUCAGCUUAAGCUCGCUCAUGUGGAGGGGUGAAACCUGGAGGAUAGAAAAGUUCAUCAUCGUUUCCCUCAUCAACAUCUGCUAUGGGGCCCUUUCCUUUGUCACCUCCCUUUGUUAUUAAUCGGGUUAACUUUGCCACUAUAUCCUCUUGAGAUUCCGGCAUCUUCUCAGACAUUUCUUGCUUCAUCUUGUCAAACCGUUCCUGCAUUUGUAGCUGAAGCCGGUCUUGCAUCUCCUUCUGGUGUUGUUCAAGCUUUUCUAAUCUCUGAUCCAUAUCUUUUGUCUUUGCUCGAGUGCCGUAUCGGUGUCGGGUUGGUUGGUUGGUUUCCAGGUUAACUGAGCAAUAAUUUUAAUUAAUUAGGAUCAAUUAAAGGUUUUGAAUGCAUAUGAUGUGAUGCAUGAGAUGAAUGCAAGAAAGGCGUUAAUUAUGAUUCAAUUCCACUUGGAAAACUUUAUUAGAAAACAAAUCCCUUUACAUAGAAUAGACUACAAAUACGACUUCGCCCUAAUACUUAAGACCUUGAUUUUUUGAAGUAACGAGGCUAACUCCCGUCCCCGGUCUGACUCUAAUUCAUACUUUACGCUCAAUGUGUCAGCUUGUACUGCCAAAGUUUGUAAGUGAUCAGCUACUUCUCGAAUCUGAACCAAGGCUUGUCCCAUAACACGAUCCCUGCUUCUGACCUGAUUCUGGAGAUAGUGAAGCUGUUCGCUUUGAUGAUCUUUGUUUGCCUCCAAAUACUCAAUCCUGGCUUCACCAUUCUGUAAUGCCACUUCUAGUUCUUCUAUAGUUUUCUUCAUUUGCUCGAUUCUGCUUAAACUUGCUUAUAGUUCCGCCACCGAGUUACGAUUUCGGUAUUGAUAAACAAUCUUUUCAAGUUCAGCCACUCUAGCCUUUAAUUUUUCUCUUUCAUCUUGAUUUUCUAACAAAUUCUUCUCGAGCGAUCUGUUUUGCAUCUGGGCUUCCUGGAAUCUUUCUUCCCAUCUACCGGCCUUGGCUUUUUCUUCUUGAACCUCUUGACGCCACUGUUCUGAGGUUUUCCCCAACCCAGCAGUUCUUACUGACAGACGUAGUCUCUUAUAAUCCGUCUUCAAGCUGUUCAGAUCUUCCUCAACUUUACGCUUCCCUUUUCUCAGGCUUUCGGUUUCCUGCUUUUGAACAUCUAUGUCCAACUUUAAAUUCACCUUUUCUUCUUCCAUUUGCUCUAUUUUCUUCUCUAAUUCUGCAUUCCUUCUUUCGAUGUCUUGCUUUAUAAUUUCCAGCUCAGAAGGGACGACGCGCAAAUGCUCCUCUAUCGACUGACUAUUUUUUGAACUUGGCCCAGAAAUGUUGUCAUUAAUCCUCCCAACACGCCAUUCGUUAUAUUCAGAAGUUGUCAUUGGACCCAUGGCUAAUCUCUUCAUUCGGCGAGUCUGAUUCCACGCAUUGGCCAUCUCACGAGCCUUCCUUUUGUAGCCAUCAUCCUUAUAUGAGAAUUCACACUCAGCUAGUCCUUGAGUGGCAGGCACAAACUGUCUUGACCGGUAUUGUCUUAAUACUAGCAAUGGGGCAUAACCAACAGCUCCUCAAAUCCCGAGCAAUGGAACCCAGUCGAAAUCCCCACACCUAUAUAGGAUAUCAUCUGGAAGCAAUCAUGGAGCUCUCCACUCAAUAUCUUCUUCUUGUAGACUCUGAAAGAUCACCAUCCAUUUCUCCUCCAAGAUGUCAUCUCUCCUCGACGUGGCCACUAUCUCUUUCAACGGUGAAUAAUUCUCGGAGAAUACCUGAUAUGAAACCUUAUCAACCUUCCAAAGGUGGUUGUGGAACCACGCAAGUAGUAACUGCGCACAUCCAAUAAAUCUACCAUCUCCCGUUCUUCGACAUGCAUUCAACGAUCUAAAGGUUUCCGCCAAAAUUACCGGGACUAGUGUAACUCCCUUAUCAAGCCGAUCUAACAAAUCAGUGACCGCCUCGUCAAUAUGUCCCAAAAUCUUAGGGAACAAAAUUAGACCAUAAAUACUUAAAGCAAAGACGUCUACUUUCUUCCUCGCAUCUAGGUGUGCUAAAAUGAGGUCCUUCAAACUUUUCCAAGGAAUACACCUACUAUCCCCUUUUUGCUUAAUCCGAGCUGUAACCCACUGCUCACUCAUCCCUGUUAUACUCAUCAACUUCCUCAAUAAGGUUGGUAUAUUCACUGCCUUCGAAUAAAUUCUAUCCACCUGAACCUUCGAACACCGAAGUAAAGCCGUGUACUCCUCUAUUGUAGGCACCAAGUCAACCUUUCCAAAUGUGAAGCAACUGUAGGCCGGAUUCCAAAACUGGGCAAGAGCUCGAAACAAACGCUUGUCUACCUUCAUGUCAAGUAAAUAAGGCAAAUCCCCAUAAUUCAAAUAGAAUAACUGCCUAACCUCAUUAUCCCAUUGAUCCCAAAUUUCCUUCAACUCCUGCAAGUUGUUCUAGGCUGCGCUAACACGAGUGAAGUCCCAUAACUCUGAUAUGUGUCCCACGGCCAAACUGUCACCUUUUUCACGCUGUAUCUUCUCAGACCAAGCCCGGACAGCCGCAUUGUCUUCCACUCUAUCAAGAAACUCAUUUCCCAUGAUAAACUUUCUAUAUGGCAACCGAAUAUGAACCAACGCCUUUACAAUGAAAUGUCAUGCAAUCGUGAUGUCAUGCAAUCAAAGCAAAAUGAAACAAGUCAGUAUCACAUAUAAGAAUAUAAUUACAUAGCAAGAACACUUAUUAGGAAUCUACUAGGGUUUUGGAGUAGUUCUACCUAAGGCAAGUUCCUAAAACUCACUAUAUGAGGUUUAGUUUCAAGAGUAAGGGUACCCGAACCAGCAGAUUCCUCAAUCCUCACCCAUUAUAGGCUCAUAUAGAUCGAGUUCAGUUCAAGGGGACACAUUUCCAUAUGGUUGCACGGAGAUGAAAAUCUCACGAAGACAUAGGUACGGAUGUAUCCCGGAAGCGAUCCACUACCCUGCACAGAGGUGAAAACCUCACGAAGGACUAGUUUCUCGCUCCCACUUAAGGGUGAAAUGCAAAAUGCAAAUGCAAAGUUUCCAAAAUACCAUGAUAAAACAUCAAUGAGCGCAAAGGGAACUCAUGAAUUUUUAAAAACUUUUAAUUUUCGACACAAAGACAAAUAUGAUCAGUUUAUGGCUCGACUCUCAAAGUCCCCAGCGGAGUCGCCAAGCUGUCAAAACCAUUUUUUUUUAAACAAAAAUUUUAGUUGUCGACUUUAAAAAACAAAACUGGAGCCGCCACCGAUCCUUUAUUAAGGUGUGAUCGGCCCACCUUAAAAGUAAUUUUGGUCUACGAAAUUUGAGAAAACAGGUUCGGGAGUCAGUUACGCACGAGGAAGGAUUAGCACUCUCGUAACGCCCAAAAUUGGUACCAAAUUGAUUUUUUAAAAUGCCUUAGUGUCGAAAAUUUGAAAUGAUUUUAAAAGGAAACUUUUUAUUUCAUGAAUGGAUUAAAAUAAUAAGACAAUUCUUAUUUCAAAGAAAUAAAACACCACACCCAGUAAGUUAGGACACAAUGUUUUUAAAUCUUCAAAAUACUCGAAUAUUGCCUUUUGUUUUUGAAAAUUCUUAUUUCGAGAAGAAAAUGUCAUGACCAGUAAGUUAGGACCCAACAUUCUGAAUUCCCGAGAAUAAGCUUUUAUUUAAAAUUUGUGAAUUUGUUGCAAAAUAAAUACUUGGCUUCCUAAAUUCAUCGAAAAAUAAUCGUGAUCCAAUAAGUUAGGACACGAUCUUUCACGAGAAUUAUGAAUACCAAAUAUUUAAAAUUAUAAAACAGGAUGACUUAAAUUCCUUGAGAAAAUCAAAAAUAUAUUUUUAAAAUGGAUGCUGAAAAGGGUUAAGGUAAAACAUGGAACAGGUACCCUAAUUUCAAACAUGAAUGGAUAAAUAUUUACAAAUAUAUACAAAUACAAUAUACAAGUAAAUUUACAAACAAAAAAGAAGGAACGAAAUACAUCAAGCCCCAAAAAAAUGCAUGUAUAUGUAUAUAUGUAUAUGAAAAUUAUGAAAAUAAAAUAAAGAUAAAAAAUAUAUAUGUGUAUAUAUUUACAAAAUAAAAAAAAUGUAUAAGUAUAUACAUAAAAUACAAAACACAUAAAAGUUUUUUUUUUAAAUAUAUAAAAACAGAUGUAUAAAAGAUAUGCAAGUAUUCAAAAAGUUUGAAAAAAAAUACAUAUAAAAAAAUGUAUAUAUUUCAUAUAAAAAUAUGCGUAUGUACUACAUGAAAAAAAUGCAUAUAUAUACAAAUUAUGUAAAUACCAUGCGUAUAAGAAUAUAGAAAUAAUGAUAAUAAUCAUAAUAACAAAUAAUAUAACAAUAAUAAAUAUUUAAAAAUAAAAAAUAAGAAAAAUAGCUAAAAUGAGUUAAAUUGAACUUAAAAACGUAAAUUGGGGGGAAUUUUGAAUAAAAUUUUAAAAGAAAGGGGCCACUUGAACACGCGCGCAAUUAUGGGGGACUAAAAGGGAAAUUAUUCCCUCCCUCCAGAAACGCUGCGCAGCAGUGGGCUAAAUUGAAAUAAAAAUAAAAUGAGCGGCCCAAUUUCUAAUAAAAACAAAACAAAUUUAAUUGAAAUGCGCUGCAAACAAGAGGGGCCAAUUUCGCAAAUAGCCCAUGUGACGUCAGAGCGCGCGGAUCCUCCCCUUCGGGUUGGGUCACCGCGCGGGUCAGGCCCUGGACGAAACGGCACCGUUUUGAUUGUUAAUUAAAACAAUUUUCCUCCUUUUCAAAAUCAUUUAGAACCGAAUGAGGAAAAAAAAUAAAAAAACUCAACAGGUGCUCUGCUAGGGUUUUAUCCCUAGCUUCCUCGCACUACUCCUCAGCCCACGCCGGCGCGCCGAUCACGACGGAGAUGGCCACCGGUCUGGCGUCCUCGGUGAAUGGGGUAAAAUCCUUCCCCCUUUUCCUUGUUUUUCCUUUUUUUUAAAACGCAAAAAAAAGAUAAAAAAAUUAAAAUAAAAUAAAAACUACAAAACUCGAUUCACCUUUAAAAAAAUAAAUUUGUAUUCUCUGUUUUUGCUUUUGAUUUCUUUGUCUAUCACUCCGUCCGUAAUAUCCGUCCCCUUUACAGAUUUUGAUAGGCCUUUUAUAGGCCAAAAGAAAGAGAAUAAAUUAAAAACAAAUUGUUUUCUUUGUUAUUUUUUAUUUCGAGACUCUUUGAAUCUGUUUUGCUGCAAGUGUUGUGCGCGCGAAUGACGUGCGUGGGGAGAAAGUUGGCCUCGAGACGUACGGCCCUUGGAAUCUGCUGGAGGCGGGGAGCGCGACGCGGGGCUGCUGGGCGCGCUUGAAGGCUUGCUGCGGCGCUCCUUAGGGCUAGGGUUCCUUUUGUUUUUUUUUGUGUUCUGAGCCAAGAACAGUUUUGGGUCGAUUGGGCCACUUAUUUGUUGGGUCUGCCAUGCCCUUUUUGUUUAAUUUGGACCCAGGCCGAUUGGGCCUUAUUACAAUAAGGAUAAUAAUAGUAAUAAAAAUAAAAAGGUCAAUUUUGAAAUAAAAUGGAAUUUUAGGGUAAAACACAAAAAAAUAGAUAAAUAUAAUAAAAAAGUAAAAAUAAAAUAAAAUAAAAUAAAAAGAAUGCAAAAAUAUUUAAAGAAAAUGAUAUAAGGACUAAAAUGAAAUUAAAAUAAAACUCCAUGGGAAAAUUUAAAAAGCCAAGAGGACAACAUUGGAAUAGGGCUAAAGCACGGAGGGAUCAAGGGCGCAAAUAUCCCAUUAACCAAAAACACGCGGAUCCUCCCGGUCGGACGGGUCAGGUCGCGGGUCAAGAGCUAAACGACGCCGUUUUGGCGUUUGUUAACCCUAGCCCAAUACUGCGUCAUUUUGUACCUCUAUUUAAACCAAAAAAAAUUUUAAAAAAAAUCAUUUCUACCAUCCCCUUUUAAACAAAUUUAAAAGCCUCCCCUUUUCUCUCUUGGCCCCUCUCUCCCUUUGCCCAUACUCCGACCAAUGGCUCCAGCGCACCUACACCGUAGGCGGCGACCGGAUGUGCAAAACCGAGUCUUUCUAGCCCCGUUUGAAGCCGAUCAUUCCUUGGAACCCGGAUUCGAGGUUGGGUUCGUUAAAAAAUAGGCCAAACCCGAAGGAAAAAGGAGGAAUCUGUUCGGUUCCCCCUUUUCCGGCGAGGCACAGGUAAGGCCUUUCUUUGUUUUUCUUUUUUUUUGUAGUAUAUAAAGUAAAAAAACAGAAAAAAAAAAGAUUCGAACACCCAAAAAAUAACCUUUUCCUUUCUUCUUUUUUUCAAAAGGGCCGAACCCUACUUACAGUGAUUCGAAUAGUUUUAUAUAACCUUUUACAAGCUUUUGUUUCUAUUUUUUUACUCUAUUUUUGCUUCUUAAUGUUGCAUGUUUGCAGGUGGAGCAAAUGAGGACUGAUGUGAUCGUGGCGGUGAAAGUGGCAGUGGCAGAGCAAGUGGCCGACUUCGGCAGAGGCUAGGUGCGACGAUGACAAAAGACCAAGGGUCAGAAGACCCUAGGUGCGGUGCCUAGGGUUCUUUUGCUAGGUUUUUUUUUUCUUUUUUCUUUUUUUGGAUUUGGGCCAUUCGGGUUUUGGGCUUAGGUUUGGGUCUGGGUAGUUGGGUAUUGGCUUUGUAAUUGGGCCCCGGGUCAAAAUUGGGCCCUACAAGGGAAAUUAGAAAAUUUCAAAAGAAAUCUAAGAAGCAAAUUAGAAUUUACUAAAGGUGGCUUAAGAUCUUUUUCCUUUCAUUACUUUUCUUUUCUGUGGUUUAUUCAUUGUGUGUAAAAAAAAAAAGUAAAGAGGCGAGGGAUCUUACCCUGGUGACUGGGCCGUUGAAGCUCACGUCCUCCUCUGAUCUAAUUGGAGUUGGGGGCAGAGAACGGCAGAUUGGAAAAGGGCGAAACCCUUAGGUUUUUCUCUGGUUUUUUUUUCUUUUCUAUUUUGAAAUAGCAAAUAAGUGUUUUUAGUUUUUUUGGGGGGGGGUUUAUAACUUCUGUGAAACGACGUCAUUUGAGGCCUGCUAGACUCAAAACGAUGUUGUAUAAGGCCUACGACCCGAGAUCUGACCCGUCCACCCUCAGGAUCCGCGUGUUUCUGUCGUGAAGGAGAUAUUCGCAUGCCAGGCCCCUUCUCUUUUGCGCUGUGGCAAUCUAGCCCAUUUUAUUUCUUUAAUUGUGGCCGCAUGAUUUCCUAUUAGUUUCAUUUUGGUCCAUGAUGAAACGCUGCGUUUUAGGGCUGGGGAUAUUUUUCUAUUUAGUCCCCAUGUUAUUCGCGCGUUCCCUUUUUGGCCUUCAAUUUUAUUUUAUUUACUUUUUUCCCUUUUGAAUUUUGAAUUAAAUACAAUUUAAUUCGUACUUGUUUAAUUUAAUGUACUCGACUUUUAUUUUGUUUAAAAUUCAUUUAAAAAAUAUAUUUAAUUUUAAAUCUAACAUUAUUUUUAUGUUUAAGCUUAAUAUAUUUUUUAUCAUCAAUAUUAUUUUAAUUUAUAAUAUAUUAUUAUUUUAAAUUUAUCAUUAACAUUUUUUUAAUUUUAUCAUGUAUUAUUAUUUUGAACUUAUCAUCUAUGAUUAUUUAAAUUUAUCAUGUAUUAUUUUAUGCAUUCUUGUUGUAAAUUCAAUAUAAUUUGUAUUUAUUCUUUAACGCUUUAUUUCAAUUAUAAAAUCCUCUUUAUAUAUAUUGCUAUGUUUUAAAAUUUAUAUAAUAAUAACUCUCAUAUAAUACUAUUUUAUAUAUACAUACAUAGUUUAUAUUAAAUUUUUCAUUUUAUAUAUAUUAUUGAUUUCAUAUUAUUAUUUUUUAUUUAUUUUUAUUUAUAUAUAAUUUAGUUCUUUUAAAAACUUAUUUUAUUAUAUUUUACUUAUUUCAACUUUUUACCUAUAUCGUUAUGUAUAUAUUAUUAUAUAUAUUGAGUUUUUCAUUCCAUAUAUUACUUAUUAGAUAAAUAUGUAUGUAUAUUAUUUUGAUUUUCUUUUUAUACAAUAUUUAUUUUAAAAUUCAUUUAGAUAUUAUCAUUUCACAUGGUAUUUAUUUUUAUCUUCAUUUUUAAUCUAUUUCAAACUUUCUUAUAUAUAUUAUUUAUUUUAAAAUUUUUAUAUAUACAAUUUAUUGAUUAUAAUUGCCUUUCUUUCACGCUAUUCGUUUCUUUAGUUAUUUUAAAACUAGUAUAUUUUGUUUGUGCUUGUGUUAAUCGGCUUGUUUUUUUAAUUAAUUAGCUUUCAAAUAUUAAGGUUGGUAUUUACAUAAUAUGCGAUGUGAGAUUAUUGCUCUUGUGUAUUGUAUUACUUAUUUGUAUUUAUUGAUUAUUUGUGGUUCAUUACAGUACAUUUUGGUUUACAAAUUAUCGCUUUGCAUUGUACAUUAUUAUUCCAUCGCACUUUAUUCGCUCAAAAAGUUACGUUUAAUAUGGUUUAAGUUUUGAAAUCAUUUUAUCCAAAAGCUUCUAAGAUAGCAUAACAUUCGGUGUUUGGGAUUUUCGAAAAGAUUGUACCUUAACUUACGGGGUCUCGAUUUUUUGAUAAUUUCAAAUAUACGAACCUUUUUUAAAAUAAAAAAACACGUUUUCUUAAAAUUAUCUCGGGAAUCAGAAAAGGACCGUGUUCCAACUUACGGGAUAUGAUUUCUUUUUCGAAACCGAGAUGAUCAAAAUUUCUAAAAAUAAAUAAAUCUUUUGAUGUUUAUUCUCAUUUCGGAAUUUCAGAUAUUGUGUCCUAACUUACGGGAUAUAAUUCUUUUUCUCGAUUAACGAGAAGAGCACCCUUCCUUAAAUUUUUAAGUGAUUUUAAAAGGAUCAUAUUUUUAAAUUUCUUUCCAAAUUUUUAAUUUUUCGACAUUAAGACAUUAAUUAAUUGAUUAAGUACCAAUUUUGGGAAUGACAAGGGUGCUAAUCCUUCCUCACAUGUAACUGACGCCUGAACCCGUUUUUUCUUGAAUUUCGUAAACCAAAAUUAUUAUUUUAAUAAAAUCAAAACAUUUUAUCAAAACAAUUGAAUUGCAAGGUGAUCUGAUCACACCUCAAAAAAUGUUGGUAGUGACUACCUUUUUUUUAAUUUUCAAAAUAAAAGUCAACUCUAUUUUUGUUUUCAAAAAAUGGUUUCGACAGGGAGUAUAGAAUGUGAUUCGCUUGUUGUAUUGUGGAUUAAAAACUACGUUUAUAUUUUAACGGGACAAAUUGAUUAACUCGAGUGAUUAGUUUGAAUAAUUAUUUUAAUGAAAAUAACUAAAUUUGAGAAAAAAAUUAGAGUGACCAAAAUAGGACAAACGUAUUUUAGUGUGACCUUAGUGUAAUUUACCCUGAAAAAUAUCUUACUCCGUAGACUUGGUUAAGUUGACCUGCUUCUAAACAUUAUGUUUGGUUGAUAUAGGAAUAUAAAGAUAAAUUGAUUUAUUUUCAAUAGAAGUUGAAGUACUAUUCCUUAUCAAACUUUUGCUUUUCUUACUCAAAUUUCGUGCUUUCCAUUUUCUUUUCCUUCUAUUUUUCCUCCUUCUUUCAUGGAAACUUAUAUAUAAAAGUUUAUGAGUUAAAUAAAGUAGAAUUAAAGAUAAAUUGAUUUAUUUUCAAUCAAAGUUGAAGUAGUAUUUCUAUAAAAUAUCAACAUUUUGCUUUUCUUCUUCAAAUUCCGUCUUUUCCAUUACCUUUUCUUUCUUUUUUUCUCCUUUAGCUUUUAAGACCUAAAAAGUCUUAAAGAAUUUGGGAGUGAGGCUUUCUUCGUAGACUUCUGUUUGGCUCGGGUUUUCAAGUCUAUAUUCUUUUUUUCUCCUUUAGCUUUUAAGACCUAAAAAGUCUUAAAGAAUGUGGGAGUGGACUUUCUUCAUACACUUUUGUUUGGCUCUACUUUUUAACAUUUUGUGGAUAAUUAAAUUUCCAUUGGAAGAAACUUUUGGAAGAAACUUCCUUGCGCUUCAUGCAUUUUUGUGUUUUAGCUAAAGCUUACUCUAUAUAUUUGGAGUUGUGAGCCAUGGCAAUUGCAACCAUGACUACUCCUCUUCCUAUUUCCUUUUUCCCUAUUCUUCUUCUCAUUCCCGCUGUCUGUUUUACCAUUUGUCAUGCCAAUUCCAACCUACUUUGCAUUCAGAGUGAGAGAGAAGCUCUUUUGAAAUUCAAGCAUCAUCUUAUUGAUCCUUCAAACAGGCUAUCGUCAUGGGUUGAAGGUGGGGAUUGCUGUGAAUGGACUGGUGUCGUCUGCCAUAACUCCACAGGCCACGUCA
rnacentral:lncRNA from 1 species